rnacentral:lncRNA from 1 species
UUUUGUUUUUGUCCGUUUAUUUAAUUUAUUUAACAAACAAAAUUUUAAAAAUGUAGAAAGUUGUUUUCGAACUUACAACUUCUCAUUAAGGGCAAACAAACACAACAACCAUAACAAUAUAUAUCGGUAAUAACCUCUUCAACAUCAUUUCUCAAAAAUAAAAACCUCUUCAACAUCAUAACAAUAUAUAGAUUUAGGAUUUAAAUUUGAGGGUGGUGACCACAACAGGACUCCUAACCACAUGACUCACAUCCAUCCAAGUUAGAUAUCCGAAAUCCAAUUUCUUUAAUCUUGUCAUGCUUCCAACUUCAUUCCUCAACUUAAAUCUUAGCUUCUCAUUCUUCUCAUGGAACACCAACUUGUUUGGGAUAACACUGACAUGAAACCCUUUGAUAGGAGUAAUGUUGGCAACAUAAACUGUUUAUGCCUCACCAACAUUGGUCACUGUUUUGUGGAACUCUUGUAUUCUCCUCCAAGAAGAAUUUCCACCAUUGAAGAAAGCAAUAAAAAAAGGGUGGUUAAUAUCCAAUGAAGGUUUAGAGCAAUCAUUGAAUGUGGAUCUUGUAAUGGUAGUGAUAUGUUUCUGUGUGAAGUUAAGUCCAUAGAGAAGAUUAACAUAAUCUUGUGCACCAACGUCAUAAAGAAGACCGGGGUCAAGCGCUCUAGUAGUAUCAACAUAACUAGCUCCUAAUGCAAGAGGAGUUGCAACUUUGUUACCUUCUCCGAUGUCUUUGAUAUGUUCCUUAGCAUUAUCAAAUAUGGUUGAUGUUGUCAUAAUUGCUGACCUUAUAGCUGCAGGGUCCAAUCAGCAUGUGCUCCUUUCAAAAGUGCUCCAACACCAGCAACAUGAGGGCAUGUCAUAAACGUUCCACGCAAUGUUGUCAAAAUCGCGAUCUAGAUCCCAAGAUCGUACGAUCUUGCGAGUCAUGAUGCCUCCACCGAUCUGGAGCGGAUCCAAGAUCAGAGAAGAUGAAGGAGCGGCCGGCGCGCCGCGUAAACACGUUGAAUCGGCGAUUUUUUUCGCGUCUGGGAAAGUGGCUGAUUCGGGUGCGACCCGUCUGACCCGACCUGUUCGGAUUUGACCCGAUUUUUUUAAAUACGAGCCCAACCCCAUUCUGGCCGGGAACGACCCGUUUUCCACUCUAAAAGGCCAAAUUCACUCAUUAAUUUCAGUUUUGGGACUUGUUAGUGUUUAAUUCAAUAAUUAGGUUAGUAAAUUGGGAAUUUCUUUAAAAUUUUGAAUUUUUUUCAUCUUUUGUGAAAUUGUAAUUCUUCAAUUAUCAUCAAUUCCCUUUCAUCUUUUAUAAAUUUCUCUUGCUUGUGCUUCCUCUUGAAUAAGUUUUUUAUUUUUUAUUUUUAUGAUGUUUAGGAUGAUGCUUUGUUUUGUAUCAAUGUUUUUAGAUGUUUAAGAUAAUGAGAAUUAUGAUUAAUAUAAGUUUUUUUUAAAGGUUAUUUUUCUUAGUUUUUUUUAUAAUUCUGUCUAUUAUAUGGGAUCUUACGAUCCCUGUUACGAUCCUACGAUCUACGCUUUUUCUAUACCUCAACGAUCUCUAGUGGGAUCUCGAUUUUGAUAACCUUGGUUCCACGUAAAACAUUAAACUAAGUAAGGAAAUACUUGUUGGAGAAUUUCCAAAAUAGGUCUCCUAACCACAUGUUUUACAUAUAUCAAGUUAUAGAUAUUGAAAAGUCACCUUUAAUUUUGUUUUUCUUCCAACUUCAAUCAUUAACUUGAUGCUUACUUUUUCGUUCUUCUCAUGGAACACCAACUUGUUUGGAAUAACACAUACAUGAAUACCUUUAAUAGGUAUAAUGUUGGUAACAUAAAUCAUUUGUAUAAUAAUGAGGUUUUGGUGUGAAGUUAAGUGCACAAAGAAGAUUAAGAUAAUGUCUUACACCAACAUCAUAAACAAGACUAAGGUCAGAGCUCUACAAGGAUCAACACAACCUCCCAAUGCAAGUGGGGUUCCAACUUUGUUACCUCUUCCAAUGUAUUUGAUACAAUUCUUAGUAUUAUUAAAUAUGUUUAAUGUUGUCAUAAUUGUUGAACUUAUCGUUAAGGGUUUUAAUCGGGAUCAUUAAUGUAUGAGAUAUUUGAUAUGAAAACACCUCCAAUAACAUUUUAUUGAGAAAUAUUAUAAACUUGAUUAAUUAGAUUUCCAUGCUUAUCUUCACAAAUCACAAUUUUUCUAUUCACAUUGUUUAAUUCUUUAACAUUGUCACACAUACUCAUGAAAACAAUUGAAAAAUCGUUAGCAGAUAAAUUUUCUAAAUAGGCAGACAAACUAACGAGUGAUAAUUCAUUACCAAGUGUAAGCAUCACACAAAAUUCACGAUCCAAAGUACCAGUAACAAUAAUUUAGAUCCAUGAUGUUCCAUUAAUGAGAGUUUUAAAGCACUGACCCACAUUACCUGCUGCUACAAAAGUGGCUAUUGCAAUUGGAUCUUUAUACAAAGAUACAACACCUAAGUUUACUGAUAUCGAAAAGAACAUUAACACCGUCUAAUAUUACGAUAUCAAUUGUAGCUGUUACAUUAGAUAAAAAUACAUUUAUAGGUUUUUCCCAUCUAAUCUUGUACAUAGCUACUCUAGACAAUGUAAUUAUUUCUUUUGUAGUUCGAUUUACAUAACCAAAGAAAAAUGCACCAUCAACUUGAUUUCAAGUUGUUGUUAAUGAAGUGUGGGUCUCUUAAUCAUAUGUAUGACAUGUAGUAUUCACAAUUGUUGUAUUAAUGAUUGCUCUCAAGAAAAAAAAAUUGUUGUAUUAAUGAUAAAAAAAAUUCCAAGAACAAUUUGUUUAAGAUGCUAGCUCCAAUGAUUUUUUUUUUUUUGCAAAAAUAUAAAUCAUUGGUAUUUUUAAAUUCACCUUCCAAUUUUGAAGAAAUUAUAACCAUCCCAUUAUUACUUAAACUUUCACUUUCUUGUCAAACUAAAAAGUCAACCACAAAAAAUUGGAAGGCCGAUUUUUAGCUAGAUUUAUUUUAAUUACGUUUAUUAUGUGUUAUAUGUGCUCGUGUGUGAUUAUUCAUCAUUGGGUGUAUUUUCAUGGGUUUCCGUGUUAGAAGGGUAUUUUAGUCAUUUUGGACUUUUGUUAUGUUUGGAGAUUACCCUUAUGUUGGGAUUUUUGAGAUGCAUCUAUGUUGAUGUAAUUAUUGAUUCAUGACAUGUAUAUUUGGAUUACUCUGGUUUAUAUUCUGCUACUGUUGAGGUUUAUAUACAUGCUUAUUGGUUUUGAAUUUUGGAUGAUGGCGUAGCCUCUAUUUCUUGAAUAAAUGUAUUAUUCGCAUGUUUAAUUGCUUUAAUAGAAAUAGGAGUGUUACAAGUUGGUAUCAGAGUCAUGGUCAGUUGUGUCUAGACUAAUACUUGUUGUAUUUCCCUGUUGUGUGCGAAUGGUAGCAUAGUACCUUCGACAUUUGCUUUGUUGUGUUGUUUUCUUAUCAGUGAGUUGGUUGUGUAGUGCUGAGAUGGCAGGUGGUAGAGACGAUGCGGCAAUUGCACAAGCUUUAGCGACUAUGGCACAAGUGUUGGCCCAGUCGAAUGAGAAUGCGGUGGCUAACCGUAGAAAUGAAGGUGAGGCCGAAGAGAGGAGGCUCGAUAGGUUCUUGAGGAACAAUCCACCGACUUUCAAAGGGAGGUUCGAUCCAAAGGGAGUACAGACUUGGGUGCAGGGUAUGGAACAGAUUUUCCGCUGCUAAUGUUGAGGUUUAUAUACAUGCUUAUUGGUUUUGAAUUUUGGAUGAUGACGUAGCCUUUAUUUCUUGAAUAAAUGUAUUAUUCGCAUGUUUAAUUGCUUUAAUAGAAAUAGGAGUGUUACAAGUUGGUAUCUUGACCAAACUCAAAGUUGACCAUGCUUCAUUAAAUGGAUUAAGACCAAGGAAUUAUGGUGAACACGGUUUUAAUAUGCAAAUAUGGUUACAAAUAUUGCGGUUGUAGCUAAUCUGUUACUAUGAUUUCAAUUGAGGACAUUGCUUCGUGUAAAACAAUUAUAUUUGCACCAAACAAAAAAAGUUUUACAACUGUUAUAAUUUUUAUACAUAUUUUAUUUAUAAAUUUGAAUAUAUUUUAAGACCUUUUAUCAAAUUUAUAAAUAUUUUAGAUUUGACAUAAUUAACCAAAUUUAAUCUAACACUUCCCCGUCCCACCUCUAUUUAGUAAUUUUUUAACCCAAAAUUUCAAUUUCCUCAGAUCAAUUUUUCAUUUUCCUCUAUACACAAAUUUACAUAGGCACGCAUGCUAAUGCGCACGCUCACACACACUCCCACUUUCCUUUAGUUUUUUGCCACAAUUUUUUCAUUUCCCUCUUCCAUUUCAUUUCCUCCACUCCUCACACAAAAACAUCAUCUCUUGAUUAUUGACUAGAACAUUUUGUUUUUGUCCGUCAAUUCAAUUUAUUUAACAAACAAAUUUUAAAAAUUAUAGAAAGUUGUUUUCAAACCUACAACAUCCUGUUAAGGGUAAACAAACAAACACAACAACAAAGUUCUCCAUCAACUUGUUAUAUUUUAUGAAUCUUACUAUUUAUAACUACUUGAACAAAUGUAACUUUCCAAACAUUUAUUUUCGAAAUUCUCCAUCAAGUAUUUCCUUAGUUAGUUUACAUUUUUCACUUAAUUCAUAUGCUAAUAACCUCUUUAUCGUCAUAACAAUAUAUAAAUGUAGGGUUUCAAUUUAAGGGUGUUGGCUACGAUAGGCCUCUUAACCACAUGUUUCACAUCUAUCCAAGCUAUAGAUACAUAAAAGUGACCUUUAAUUUUGUCAUUCUUCCAGCUCCAAUCAUUAACUUGAAUAUUACCUUCUCUUCCUUCUCAUGGAAUACCUAUUUGUUUGGGGUAACAUUGACAUCGAACCUUUUUAUAGGUAUAGGGUUAGCAACAUAAAUCAUUUGUUUCUCGCCAACAUUGGUAUCUGUUAUGCGAAGUUCUUGUAUUGUCUUCGAAGAAGAACUUUCAACAUUGAAGAAAACAAUAAAAGAAUAGUAGUUAUGAUCAAAUGAAGAUUUCGAAAAAUUAUAGGAAGAUGAUCUUGUAAUGAUACUGGUGUUUUUUCUUGUGAAGUUAAGAGCUAAAGAAGAUAAAAAUAAUCUAUUACACCAACAUAUAAAACAUGACUAGGGUCAAGUGCUUUAUUGGAGCUACAACUUUCUUAUUUUUUAACAAUGUCUUUUAUCAAUCCUUUCUAAUAUUAAAUAUUUUAAAUAUUAUCAUUAUUGUUGACCUUAUAGCUGUCGGGCUCUAAUCAACAUAGAGUAACGUUAGCAACACUCUCUUUGAACACUCUCUUAAAUACUCAUUAUCUUAUUGGUUUAAAUCAUUGUGGGUUUACACUUUGAAAAUUGAACUCACACAAAGUGGUGGGACAUGCAUUGAUUUCAUCCAAUAAAAAAAUGAGUGCUAGAGAGAGUGUUGAAAAGUAAAUGUUACUAGCAUUUCUCAUCAACAUGUGCUCCUUUGAAACUUAAGUGUAAAACAGAUAAUCACUCAUUGUUUCUCAAUUUUGAUAAGAGAAUUUUUAUCAACAUCUAAAUAAUUAAUAAAUUAAUUUCUAUUAACAAAUAAAGAUUAAGUUACAUAUAGUUUGAUGGAGAUAUAUUGUUAGUCUAAAACAUUUUGUUUACCAUUUUGGGUUUGGGGAUUCUAAUUUUGAAAUAAAAUCAUGGUGCAUUCAUAUUAGUGUUAGACUGAUAAUUGUUACAUGAUGAAUAUGCAAAUUACACGUUUGAUGUUUUGAUUAAUAUGUUAUAUAAUUUGUUGUUAUGUGUACAAGACUUUUAGAAUAGGUUUAUGGGUCAUACAAGACUUGAAGAUGCAACAAAUUCAUAUAGUAUAGUGAGCUAAGACAUAAAGUAAAAUUAUGCGACCUGUAAUUGCUACCAAUAUCAUUUGAGAGUGAAACUUCUACCAUUAUAAAGUAGACAAAAUUAUUUACAUAAUAGAUACAAUAAAUGUUGCAUUACCUUAAGUUUGGUAGGAGUAAUCCAUGUUGCAAUUUGGGUAAGAGUUUCUACCAUAUUUCUGUAUCUAUGCAUGUUCUUUAGUUAAAACGAACUAAUUGUAUACUUAAACCCAAAAAUAAAAAUUAUAAUUAUAAUUUAGACAUUUUAAAUUUUAUGGGAAUUUUUUUUCUUCUCAAAUCAGAUGUUGUUUGGUAUUUUAAUUAGUUACUUGAAAGAGUAGUGCUAACAACACUAUCUCAAACACUCACUUUUUUAUUGGUUUAAAUCAAGGUGAAUCUCACACUUUGGAAAUGAGUUCCACUUAAAGUGGUGGGACACACAUUAAUUUCAUCCCAUAAGAGAGUGAGUGUUAGAAAAAAUGUUUAAAAGAGGGCGUUCCUAGCAUUCCUCUAGUUGAAAUUGAGGUUAAAGUACCGAAGAAUAGAAUUUUGGAUUUGAAUCGAUUCAAGUACCCCAAAUUGAGAAAGAAAAAAACUAAUUUUAUGAAUAUAAUCCUUUCCUUAAACCUUAGUUAUGUAUCUUGGAGUAUGUCACAACCCUAGGAUUUCAUUUCUUUUUAUAAGACUAAAUUGAAAUAACGUGAAAGUAAAUGUUUUAUCUAAAUUAGUAUAAUUUAGAGGGUAUCAAUAAAUCAAUAAGUAUUUAUCUAAAUUUUAAUAUAUUAAUUAUAAUUUAUUAUAAAAAUCAUACGCGGGACAAAUGUAUAUCAAAAAUAGGGUUGAUAUUCAAUUUGGUCUCUAAAAAUGUAAGACGGUAUGUUCAUAUCAAUCAAGUCCUCCAUAUUAUAAAUAUUUUAAAAUUCUCUUUAAAAUUAGUAUAAUUUCAGGUGCCAAAUUAAAUAUCAUACUUUAAAUAAAAAUUUCUCUAUUUCUUAAAUAUGACAUUCUUGAUUUAAAAUGUUCAUAGUUAAAGACAAGGAUAAAUUUGGUAAAAAAAUAUAUUAUUAAGAUGAAAGAAUUGUUUAUGAAUUUGCAAGUUAGGUUGCCUUAAUAUAUUCUUAUGAGAAAAGGGGCUUUGUUAUGCAUAGAAAACUAGUUUUACACUUGAGAAUCAAUAAUAUUAUAGUUAUUUUUAUGUGACAAUAUAUAUGAUAAAUUUUCAUUAGGGUUCUGUUUGGUUCAACGAAGAUAAAAAAAAAAGUAUAAUUGUAUUUUUCAUAAUUGUAUUACUUCCUCCGUUCCUUUUUAAGUGUCACUUUUGGAGAAAAAUUUAGUUCCUAUUUAACUGUCACUUUCAAAGUUCAAUGCAACAUUAAAUGUUGUUUUACCAAUAUUGUCCUUAGUUAUUUAUUGCGGAGAGAGAAAUAUAUGAAAUGAGAUAUUAAAUGAAUAAGGUCAUUAUGGUAAAAGUAUAACUUAUUGCAUCAAAAGUAAUAUCAAUUGUUGAUUGUCUUGGUUUAUGUAAAAUGUUAAAAUAUGACAAUUAAAAAGGAAUGAAGGUAGUAUUUAGUAAGACAACACUAGAGUUUAGCCUCUAGUUCAAUGUGGUUGCUUAACAUUUUAAGGUAGGUAUUUGAUCAUGGAGCCAUACUAUUUGAACACAACAUGUAGAGACAUUGUACACAACAACAACACAAAACACGAAAGUCAAAUGCAUGGGAAAAAGUAUUUAAAAAGAAAGGCUAAAAUUGUAUCUCAACCGUAUAUUAUACAAUGUUGAGUGUCCAAUCUUGUGUUCCCCUAGUAUUUUUCAUUGAUUGUGUAGUGAAUGAUCUCUUACCCUAGAAAUUAAGUCCCUCUUUUAGUGUCUCCUCUAAGAUUUUCUCCGCUCCUGGGCUCUCCCAUUAUUAUCAUGCCCAGAUUCAUAGGAGACAUGAGUUUCAAGGUAUAUUAUAUCCUUAGGUGGCAAAAAUUGGAUAUGAUACAAACCGUUCUACAUGACGAGUGGAGAAUGGUGUGUGAUGACCGACUUACCCUUCAGAAGCUAUGUGAGUCUUAGGUUGGCCAUCCAAUCUAAGGACCAAUUGUUGGAUUGGACACCCUCUCCAUUGCAUAAGUUCCUUUGUCUCUACAACUUGGUCAUCUCAUAGUAUCUUAUUGAUCCCCUCCCUUUUCCUUCCUUCAUAAUAAUUGAAUCAAUCAAACUACUUAUAUUUAAAAUAAUAUUUCCCAUCCCCACCAAACACAAUCUCCAAUUUGCACUAGUGCAUUUUCUUUAAACUCUAUACAAAUUUGGAGUUAGACCCCCCGUUCAUUGGUCUCUAUUGUAUUUUAACACUAUCGCUAGAUUGAUUUAAUGGUUGAAAAACAAAACGUAAAAAAAAAUCGUAAAACCAAAAACAAAAUAAAUGAUGUUUGAUAACAUAAUUUUUUUUAUUUAUUAGAUUAAUUUUAAGAAAACAAUGAAGAUUGAUUCAAUUGAUAAAGAGAUGAGUUAAUGAAAGGUGGUGGGUUCAAUUCUCACUUUCAAUGUAAGAACUUUUUGUUUUUUUAGGACGUCAAUGUGAGAACAUUCUGAUAGAUAAUCUAUAACUACGCUUGGAUCUCUAAACUUUAUGUAACCAAAAAAAAUUAAUUUUAAGAAUAAUAAAACAAAACAAUUAUUCCCUAAAAAAAACAAUUAUAUCAAUCUAACGGCUCAGGUUGGUGCAGUAUCAAGUGUAGUAGGGACCACUGAAGUAAGGGCAAUGUAGUCAAUAAACAUAUAACAGAAAAAAACACGGGAAAUUUUGUAACUAACAUUUGGAAAUUUUCAACAGCUUCUUCUUCUUCUUCAUUUGGUGAUUCAAUCUGAAAAGCUUCGUGUGAGAGACAAUGGAGAAUCUCAUACAAUUGGUGAACAAAAUACAGAGAGCUUGCACCGCACUCGGCGAUCACGGCGAGGAGAGCGCUUUGCCUACUCUUUGGGACGCUCUUCCCUCCAUUGCCGUCGUUGGAGGACAGGUGUUACUCUCGAUCUAAAAGUUUUUACGGUGUAGAAUGAAUGAUUCUUGUUAUGCACUGAUACUUCUGAUAGAAAGCAUGUCUUAUGUCCGACAUGUCCAACAUGUGGUAUCUACACUUAUGAUUACGUCUAAUUAAUUAUUAUUAUUUUCAAAUUUUUAAGUUUAUGUGUGAGUGUCAUGUCUGGUGUGUGUCAAUUUUUCAUUUUCAAAUUUUAAUUUAUGUGACCGUUCUUUUAGUGUAAUAUUUUCUUUUGAUUUCACUAUUUCUAUUUUAGAAUUGAAAUUGAAAUUCUCGGAAGUUGUUUUUCUUCAUUAUUGUUAAUUAGGAGUGUAUUGGUUUGUAAAAUGUUACAAUGCAAUGUUCUUUUGUUAUUUGUUUUACCUAAUGAUCCCGAUCACAAUGGUACUUCUAAUUUACGUGAGUUGUUCUGCUAGACCGUUUGAGAGAACUUAUGAAAAUAGUUUAUGGCAUUGUUCAUAAGUAGUUUUCAGCUUAUUUUCAUAAGUUCUCCAAGAUAGAUUAUGAAAACAACUUAUAACUUAUAGGAAAAAUAAAACUUUAUUUUAUCUUUUGUUAUAGAAAUAGCUCAAACAUAAGCGUGUAUCAUGAUAAGUGCUUGUGCUAUAAGCUACAAAUAAGUUGUUUAUCCAAUCAUGUAAAAUCUAUUUGUAUUCGGAUUUUAUAUACUGGGUGCUUUGUCUAUUUAUCAUUUGUUUUCUUACUAUGUAGCACCGACACUACACAUUGCAAAAGCGUCCUUGUCUAUGUAUGACAAGUGGUUACAUUCAUUUGUUCUAUUUUCUCAAAUUAUUGUCGGUAUCAAUGUUGUGUUUUUGUCCGUGUCAAUGCUUCAUAGGUAUUUUAUCAUAUAAUUUUAACAACAUGAAUAAAUACUGAGAUGAAUAAACAGUGAGAUGAAUCAACUUCUUUUGAGUUUAACAAAUACAUUUCCAGCGUAAACAAUACUUAAAUGUAUAUUUAAUCAUAUAUUAUAUCAUAUAGUCACAACAUAACAUAUUUGUGGAAAUUAUAUUAUAAUGUGGUAAGAUGAUGAAAUCUGAUUAAAUGUCUCACUAAAACUAAAACACUACAAUAUUUUUCCACAUUAGUGUUUCCUUUUUAUCUUCAUGUUUCAAAUGAACAUAUUCAAGUAGAUUUAUCCGUUAAUUUUAAUUUUGCAGAGUUCUGGAAAAUCUUCAGUGUUGGAGAGUAUUGUUGGAAAGGAUUUCUUACCUCGUGGAUCCGGUAAUUUAAUUUGCUAAUUGAUGUAUAUAUACGUGUAUGUGUUUACUUAGUCAUGUACUGUACAGCUUUAUGGUUUGCUUCUCCUCUUUCUCGCUCUCCAUGAUACGAGUUUUGGAUAACUUAACCCCGUUUCUGUAUGCAGGGAUUGUUACUCGACGUCCUCUUGUUUUGCAGCUUCACAAGAUUGAUGAAGGGAGAGAAUAUGCUGAAUUUAUGCAUGCUCCAAGGAAAAGAUUUACUGAUUUUGGUAUUCUCAUACAUAAAAGAUUUCCUUUCACUCACUUUAUGGUUUUACUUACAUUACACUUAAUACCUUUAAGGUAUAGCGAAAACUAACUAGUAACUUCAUCCAUUUUUGGUUAAAACAAAUGUUGCGUACCGGAAAUGUUAUUAUAUUUGCAUUUUCUUUAAUAUUCUUUACUGCUAUUGUUUCUCCGGUAGCUACUAAUUUCGCCUGUUUUGUAGCUGCUGUUAGGCAGGAGAUCUCUGAUGAGACUGAUAGAGAAACAGGUCGCUCCAAGGGUAUUUCAUCCGUUCCCAUCCAUCUGAGUAUCUACUCCCCUCACGGUGAGCUACAUUCAGCUUAUUAGUACUUGGUAUUUUGUUUUUUUUUUUAAAGGAAUAAAUGUUAUUGUUUGAGUCUCAAUUUUAUGCAUUGAAUUUGUUGCUUGGCAGUUGUGAAUUUGACAUUGGUUGAUCUUCCUGGACUUACAAAAGUCGCAGUUGGUGAGUUUUUUCAUUCUAAUAUUGUCAUUUACUUUGUUGGUUAAAUUUCUAAGAACCACCACAUUAUAAAUAUGGGGUUAAAUUUCUGCAAUUGCCUGGAAAUUGCAGAGGGUCAAGCAGAGAGCAUUGUGCAAGACAUUGAAAAUAUGGUUCGGGCCUUUAUCGAAAAGGUAAUGAUUCUAUAUAAAACUAAAUGAUUUCUGAUGCAUAUGAGAACAUUUAUUUGUUAUGAGGUGAAAAAUGUUAAAGGCAAUAAUUAAAGACUUGUAUUAAAAGCUCAGCUUUAUGCUCACAAAACUUCAUAUUCAAUUUAAGCCAUUCAUGAACGUACCGUAACUUAUUCCUUAUUGCAGCCGAAUUGCAUCAUUUUGGCAAUAUCUCCUGCUAAUCAAGACAUUGCCACCUCAGAUGCAAUUAAGAUUUCCCGUGAAGUAGAUCCUAAAGGUGAGAAUAAGCUGUUGGCCAUAAUUUUGUUUAUAAAGUAAUUGUUUGGAGGAAUGUGUUAUCUGAAGUUAACUGUAUUAAUUUCAUAAAAUAGCUAAAGCUGAAACUAUAGAUGUUUAAAAUAAAAGCAUAGCUUCAUAACUUUUACUGCACAGCAAAUCACAUUGUUAUCAUGUCUCUUGUGUCGGGAAACUUGGAUCAUAUUCGUAUAAAAUAUCAGAUAUAAGUUUGCUUGAUAAUAUAAUUGUUGGCAUUAAAAGAGGUAAAUUUAGCUUGGUUGAACACCAAAUUAUGUGACAAAGAUUCUAUGUAGUUAUAGUUCUAAAAUAUAUAUUGUAUUAAAUUACAUGCUUAUACAAUUUUUGGCAUGAUUUGGAUGGGGUGUUAUAAAAUAUAACAAGGUCGUCAAAUACACAGACUAGUAGAUGAAAUUUGAGAGAUACAGUUGGCGAGGUUGGUUAUAUGGAUCAAAUGAUACCAUAAUAUUCUAUCAUGUUUAAAUGGGUUUUCAUUAGGAAUAGUUCAUGAUUGUACAUUAUAACUUCAUUUAAUCUAAUAUCUAUGUAACUGAUCGGAUAUAAGCUGACAACUUAAAUUAUUAUUACAAGCAAUUGAUCGGAUAAUGCCUGGAUAAAGAUCAGUUUGUGAAUAUUGUUUGACUUUUUUUCUUCAGGAGAUAGGACAUUUGGAGUUUUGACAAAGAUUGAUCUUAUGGACAAGGGCACUGAUGCAGUGGAUGUAAGCAUUAUGUCCCCUCUCAAUACAAAAAUUGUGGGCUACACUGAAAAGUUUGCCUCAGGAAUUAUUUUUUCCCUUGAAUUGACGUUCCUUUGAUACUACCAUUAGUGGUGUGGACAUGUCUGUGUCGUAUAUGGUGUGUCUGUGUUAGACUCUAUGCUUCGUAGAGUAUAACUAUUAAGUAAACAGUAAGAUAUAGGUAGACAAGUAGGAAACUGUCAAAUAGGUAACAUCAUUUGGUGAUUGAAAGAACUUUUGUUUUCCUUCUGUUGGAUACUUUGAUAUCUACACACUGUGGAAUGGAAUAUACGGGGAUAAAAUAUCUUUCACUUCUUUGGAUGCUGUUAUGUUUUGGCCUAUAUUUUGCCUUUACAUGUUUCUACAAUUGAGAUAGAACUUACGAAUCACACAAACUUUGGAAUUCAGAUUUCGGCAUCUAGUUAAAUCACUGGUCAAAUCUGUCAAAUUUAUAAACUGACUUCCUCGAAUUUCCUUUUCUAGAUCCUUGAAGGGAAGUCAUUUAAGCUAAAUUUUCCUUGGAUUGGUGUUGUUAAUCGCUCCCAAGCUGAUAUUAACAAAAAUGUUGACAUGAUUGCUGCUCGGCGUAGAGAAAAUGAGUAUUUUGCUAAUACCCCAGAAUAUAGACAUCUAGCUCCGAGAAUGGGCUCUGUGCAUCUAGGAAAGGUUCUAUCUAAGGUAUGUCGAUUUGUGAUCAUAAAGUAAUACUUAAAACUCAAUCGACAUUUCCCGAGGAACAAGUUAUAGUUUCCAAAAUCACUGAGUUGAUUAACUUCUUUUUUUAUCUUUUAUUUCUAGCAUUUGGAAACUGUCAUCAAGUCUCGUAUCCCAGGACUUCAAUCACUUAUUAACAAGACAAUUAUUGAGUUGGAGACAGAAUUGAACCGUAUUGGAAGACCUAUUGCUGCUGAUACCGGAGUAAGCCACUUCUUCUCCACUCCUCUUUCUCCCUUUCACAUUUACAAGUGAAUGAAGAAUUUAUGUUCUUUCUCCAUUUGUAGGGGAAGCUGUACAUGAUAAUGGAAAUAUGUCGAACCUUUGAUCAAAUUUUUAAGGACCGUCUUGAUGGCAUGUAUAAUCCUUUUCCUAUGUUACUUAGUCUAUAAUAUGAAUUAAUGUAUAAUUAUUUCAUAGCAGAGAGAUCCUAUUUAACCUUUGGAAAUGAUUUAUUAUCCACAGACGGUCUGGCGGUGAGAAAAUCUAUCAAGUAUUUGAUAAUCAAUUUCCAGCAGCUCUAAAAAGACUGCAGUUUGACAAACAUCUAUCAAUGGACAAUGUGCGGAAACUAAUAACUGAAGCUGACGGGUAUCAACCUCAUCUUAUAGCUCCUGAGCAAGGAUACCGGCGUCUUAUUGAGUCUUGCUUAGUAUCUAUUAGGGGGCCUGCUGAAGCAGCUGUUGACGCGGUACAUAUUUAUACAAAAAACUAAUCUACUUUUGCUAUCAGCAAUGUUUUAAAUAGCAGCCGAAGUUAGAGUUCUGAUAUGGCGCUGCCCUUGAUAUAGCGAAAAAUCCAAUCAGAUACCGGCUAUAGUUAUGGUUGCAUUGUGGUUACAGAUACAUAAAAAACUUUGACGUUGAGGUGAAAAUUGUGGAUGCAGACCUUUUUUAAAACCUUGGUUGUGCAUUCCAAUUUUGAACAUGCUCUUUUAAAGAAACUAUAGUGAGAAAAUUGCGGUUCACUUCUUCAUCCUUGCUCUUUUUACACGAGUAGCUAAAAAAAUCAGAUUGUUACUGGCAUUUAGGCUUAAAGAAAAUCUGCAUUUCUUUCCCUGCGAAAGUUAACAGCUGUAAAAGCUUAGCCUGGAUUACAUUAUUUAAGGCAAAGUUGAAGUUAAAUUUAGAAAUUAGAAAAUAGAUAUAAAAUUUAUUCUUGUGUUCUGUUAUUCACUUACUACAUUACUUUUAUAAUGUUUCAGGUUCAUGGAAUUUUGAAGGAUUUGAUUCAUAAGUCUAUGAGUGAGACAAUGGCAAGUACUAUAUUAAUUGUUUCAUCUUUUGUAUGCAUAGUUCGCUACAUGUUUAUGCUUUCAGAAGUUGGUAUAUUUUUUUUAGUAUCUUAAUUGUUGCAGUUUUCUGUUGAUUGUAGGAAUUAAAGCAGUAUCCGACCUUGAAAGCAGAACUCGGAAGCGCAGCUAUUGAAUCAUUGGAGAGGAUGAAAGAAGAAAGUAAGAAAGCAACACUGUUGUUGGUAGACAUGGAAUAUGGUUAUUUGACUGUUGAAUUUUUUCGCAAACUUCCCCAAGAUGCAGAGAAGGGUGGAAAUCCAACUGUCUCACUUUUUGACAGAUAUAACGAUGCUUAUCUUCGUCGAAUCGGUAAGCAACUGUAAUUUAAGAACAUCAUAGAACAUUUUAUUUUCUUUGCAAUCUUUUAUCAUUAAUUCAAAUAGUAAAUAAUAAAUGAGUUCAUUAGCCACCACAACAUACAUGUCAUGAGCAUAUCACAGUUUUUAGUCCCUAAAAUUGCAGCUCUUGACAAUAGUUAUGAAAUUAACAAAAUUUUAAAAUGAUUGUUGAAAUCGAAAAUUUCAUUUACAUUAGUUAUUUUGGAUCGGUUAGUCCCUAAAAUUGUCAUUAAUGUGAUCGAGCAUUUUUUUAUUUUAAGAAUGAUUUUAGAAUUUCAUUAAUCUAAGAGACCAAAUUACACGAGAGUUUGAGAACAAAAUUGACGAUUUUCUCCACGUAUUAUAGUAUAUAUUCAACAUAUAUUACGUUACUACACCACACAUAUUUGUGAAAUUAGAGGCGUCAUUUUCCCCGGUUUAUUCCUUACUGAGACUCCUUUGUACGUUAACAGCUACGACAGUCUUGUCCUAUGUGAACAUGGUAUGUGGGACUCUCAGACACACUAUUCCCAAGUCCGUAGUAUAUUGUCAAGUGCGCGAAGCUAAACGCAGUUUAUUGGAUCACUUCUUUACAGAUUUAGGAAAAAAGGAGGUAAACUUUCUUACUUGUUUCCUUGAUGAUUGAAAUACAUAUGCAUGAUGUCUGAUAAUAAAAAAAAAAAGAGCCGAGUUUUGUUUUACGUGUAUUACUUUUGCAGGGAAAACAACUAGCUUCAUUGUUGAAUGAGGAUCCAGCAAUUAUGCAGCGUCGAACCUCGCUUGCAAAGAGGCUUGAGCUGUACAGAAGUGCACAAUCAGAUAUCGAGGCAGUUGCAUGGGAUAAUAAGUAGACGGCCACUGGUUCAAGUUCUGGAAAUUCGUUGAAGAAGAGGGCUUUAGUGCAAAGAGGCUCUAUUAUUUUAUUUUUAGGGAGAUUUUUUUUUGUUCAUGAUUCAAUUAUUUAUUGAAUAAGAUUAGGAAGAGUGUAGUUUUUUGACAGUGAUAGUGAAGUCAAUUUCACUGGCCUAAUGAGAGGUUUAUGGUUUUGUUGCAGAUGUGUUUCAAUUGUAUUUAACUGAUUACUUUGUCAUUAGUUAAUUAAUAAUGCAUUAUUCAUCUAUGUUGGUUCUUUUUUGACAAAUUGAAAUUGUUAUAUAGUUAAGUUGGAUUGAUUGAAGAGAAACACUACCUAAACUUCAGUAUAGUUAAUGAUUAAAUGGACGUAAUUAUUAUAAUUUGAACCUAAACUCUUAAGAAGGUAGAUACAUAAUUCAUAUUUAUGUGGUACAAUGAUGCAUUUCAAAUCAAAAUCAAAUAAAGAAGAAGAAAGAAAGUAUAUUAUCCAUUUGGUAAAUUAGAACACAGAAUUGCAGAUUUUCCAUCACAAAAAGGGUAAAAUUGGUACAUAAGAGAAAAAAAAUAAAUUAAAAUGAUGAAAAUUAUGGAGGUGCGGGGAAUCGAACCCCGUGCCUCUCGCAUGCGAAGCGAGCGCUCUACCAUAUGAGCUACACCCCCUUUGAUUUUAAAUUUGUUUUGUUUAUAAUUUUGAUAGUUAUUUGUUAUACAACAAAUAAUCAAUAUUGUUGAAAUGUUAACAUUCUUUUUGUAGAGCAAAAACAGAAUGUAUCUGAUCUAAUUAAGACUGUAAUUUCAGUAUGAUCAAAACCAAAAACAAAUGCAUCUAGUUAAUUUCAGUAUCAUGGCGUUCUAGAGAUCUUGAAAUUCUCGUAAAAAAUGGAGUAUUUUUAAUGAAAGAACUUGCAUAUAAUUUCUUAUGCAACAUCCGGUUUCCAAAAAUCAAGCAAAACUCAUCAUAUCAUCUGAUUCUAUAAUCAACGUGUAAUAAUAAUAAGAGAAAUGAUAUUUGUACAAUAAUUUUUUGACAAUUUUCUCUCAUCAUACUCACAUUAUCCUCUUAUUUUAUCUCUUCAUUUUUCUCUUUCCAUUGUUUUUAACCAAUGAAAAGAGAGAAAAAAAAGUUAUCAUCAAAAGUUGUAUAAAAUGGUUGUUCAAAUAUCACUCAUCUAAUAAUAAUUACAUAUUCUCAAGAAACAUUUAGCAAAAUAGAGGUAAAGUGUUGUAAGGCCAAUAAUUCUCUUCUACUUUACCAUGUAUUAGAUGCUGGAACGGAGAUGAAUUAAGUUUAGGGGAACCAAAAUGAAUGAUUUAGUGGAAAAAAAUAAAUAAAUGUUUUUUUCGUUACAAAAACAAAUAUCGCGACCAAUAAAUCGUUGGUAGUGAGCAACCAAAAUUGCAGAUAGUGUUUUGAUCUUUCUAAACAAAAUUGUAAUGAGGAAUCGUAUAUUGAGAUUCUAGUUCAGGAUUAGUUAGGGUUCUUCUCUAAAUUUAAGACAAAACCUUUAUUUUUUGUUGUUAAGGAUUUUAGUUAAAUAUUAGUGCAAUUAAGUCUAGAUAUCAUAUGAAGCUCACAAAAAAUAUAUAUAGACCAAAAAUAUUUGCAUACUUGUAUAUUUUUUUAAAAAGUUCGUAACCUCUAUUGAUCCCCUUCUAGCUUCAUCUCUGAUGAGAUGUACAAAAGCUGCGAUAUUCAAAAUUAAAUUUAUUUUUUAUAUUACGGUGGUUGAACAAAAACACGACAAACAACAAAGGUGGCUUUUACAAAAUCAAGAUGAUUCACCAUAAUUUUCACAAACCUAUUGACCAAAGUAACAUUAAAUAUCGAGAAGAGACUAUAACAGUAUACAGUAACUCAUUGCGCUUCUUCAACAAAACAGUAUAACUCAUUGCAUCGGUCAUCAGAGGAGUCUUCAAUCUUGCUUAUAUUAAAAACAUGUAAAACAGCUAAUUGAGAUAUAAAAUUUCAACGAGCCUUAAUUUCCUUAAUUUCCAUUACACAAAUAUUCUUAUACAAUUUUUGAAUCCGUAACGCUUUUAGUUAUAGUGCUAUAAUUAUUCUUCAUUGUGAUUAAGUUUUUUUCAGUAUUUGUUAUAGGCAUGAUUAGAGCUCUAAAAUUUCAACUUCAAGCGUCCCUAAGACAUGAAACACACCUCAUAUUGGACAAUAUAUAGAGUUGAAAUAGUGACUAACUCGACAAUUAGGCCCUUUGUCGUUUCAUUUUUACUUCGAAGUACACACUCUCUUCAUUGAUUUCAACAAAUCUACAAAAUAUGUUGAGAAAAUCACAUCUGUUAUGAUUGUGAUGAGACGCAAUCUUUAUCUUCUACAAGUUCAAUAUCAAAACAACCUCAACUAAGGUAUUGUGGUAGAUUCUCCGUGCAUCUGACUUGAAAUUCAAACUAUAUACUGUUUUUUUUAAUACUAUCUAAAAUUAUAAUGAAUGUUCUUCAUUUAAUUGUUUUUCCCCUAAAAAUAUAUGAAUUUUAAUAUGUGUAAUAAUAUAUUUUCUUUUUUUUUGUUUACUGAUGAUUAGUAAUAUUUGUUAGAAAUCUAGAUUUUUUUAUGACAGUUGAAAAGUUAGAUAUGAAAUCAAGGUCGCGUGAUAAUUUGAUGAAAGUACUCUUCCUUCUUUUGGGGUUUGAUAAAAAUGUUGCAAGAUACAAUCUAAUUUUAUGUAUGGUUGUAUCACUUGAGUAUGUGUUUGUUUCCACGGUGAGGCAAUUGCAAACAUGUGUUUCUCAUUAAACUACACAUUGUACAUGUUUGGUAUAACGGCAAUUUUAUCAAAAUCACCCACUUUAAUUUUGCAAAAGCUACAAAGUCAUUGUAAUUUUUCAAAAGCUACAAAAUGUAGCUUCUGAAAAUCAAGGUGACUCAUUGUGAUUCUGAAAUCCUCGUAAUGGUAACAAACAUGCACUUUGUAGCUUCUUGUUAUCACAGUGGAAAUGGAUUUCGACGAGCGUUUUCCUUCAUUGGACGUGAAUCAUUUCUGAAGAUGCUCUAAUGUUUUCCCUCAGUGAACCUUUCCUAGAGUACAUAUAGGGCAAAAUGUAGACGUUACCAACUAGAAGUUUGAUUAGUUUGACAAACUCAGUGUUAGAAUUUCGACUUAACAGGAUUGAAUUCUUUUGCUUUCGUUUUCUUUAUUGGGUUUCUGCUUCUUGGUCAAAAAUGUAAAUGAUAAUUCCUAAGUGCUUUUGUUUAAAGAAGUUACAUCUAGUAAUUUGCAGGUUUUCCAGAGACAUGUUUUUUAAAAGUUACUUCCUUCAAGACAUUGAUGAUGCUCUAUGGAAAUGAAGAAGACAAACAAUAUACCAACAAUCUUCGUCAAUAUGUUCCAUCACAUUAUUUCAGUUGCACAAAUUCAAUAACAAAUCAACUGACAAAGUAGUGCCACUAUCACCUAACAAAAUAUUACGAAUGUAUAUACAAUUGAAACAAAUUAGUUAUCAAAAUUAUUGAAAUGGCUUGACAAAAUAAUAAUAAUUAUUAACUGUCUCUUGGUCGCGUUAUUCAUCAUAUCAAAAUUGUCUAACUACAUAGUAAAACCAAAUUCACCUUGAAGGUGCCUCUGAAACCUCAAAACUGACUACAAUGAACCCGCAGACUGAGCAAGAUGAUUAGCAUGAAUGCUGUUCCUCAGGCAGUUUCAACAAUAUUUAAGCACGAAUAGUGACAUCUGCAAUAUUUCAUGAAUUUGAAUGGUUUUGUCAGUCAAUUAUGAUUUGCCUGGUGAAAAGAAUUCAUUGAUUCAUAGCUUUUUCAAACUACAAAUAUACUGAGUUAGCUUCAGCAGAUAAGAAGGUAUGGAAUUGAAAGACCUACCGAAAACAUCCAAAAAAGAUAGUGGCAUACUGCAGCUAUAAAACUGAGCUCACGAGGCAGAGCAAUUUGUAAUGAAUCCACAAAUGAUGAAAUACCGCGAUGCUUCACGAGAACUUUUGAGGUAGAGUUCUUCUAUAUCCACAAUAAUUGCUACAAUUCAUUAGCAACAACAAAGUACUGUGGGUUAAGCAGUAGCUGUACAAUGUUUACUAGAAGAGAAAUUCAUGGACCUGGGAGAAUCAUUUCCUCUAACGACACGGUUAUAGAUAACCUUAAACGACUGAGAGCCAUGAGGUCGAGUAAGCAAACUUAUUGGCAUUCUUAGUGUUUGCUUUCGGUUUCUUCUUCCCCGAAUCAAAAUGCUGAACGUUUUCUCAUCAUCCAUGUUCAUUUCGCUACUGCUGGUGCUAAUGUUGGAACCGACAAUUUGAUUUGGAUCGUUCCCAGCAUUGUCGGUCCCAGGAAAAUUUGGAUUGCCAUUUUCUUUUAUACUUUCUGAACCAACUCUCACCGUUUCAUCUUCACUCAUCUCUGAUGCUGAAGUUUUUACCUCUUUAUUCAAAUCCCCGACCUUAUCAAUGUCAUCAGGCAGAACUGAAGCUGGACUUGGACUUUCAACUGCAUGAAACUGCACUUGAGGCUCUAAAAUGAUAUCAGGGAUUGGUUCAACAAUAGGUACUGGACGAGGAUAUUCAACAGGAUGACAACCAGUCCAAACAGCACCAGGACCAAACUUAGAUAUGACAGGAUUCAAAUUACAUUGCCAUGUAAAAUGAUUGGCAUGAAAGCCACUGCUGGUUUGUACUGAUUGAGGUUGAGUAUAAGGAGGAUACAUGAAUGGCAAUGGUUGUAGCAUGUUUGGUGUUGUUGGAGGUGACGGAUAUGCAUGGUGAGGAGAGGAACACAUUGGGUUACCAGCAGGUAGCACAGUAGCAGGUCCAGGGUGAACAUUCAUGUUUACUGGCCAGGGGCCAAUAGCUGGAACAGGACCGGGACCAGAAGGAUGAGACAUAUUCAUGGCAAUAGGGGCAACACGUGCAAUGGCAGGUGAUGGGUUGAAUGGAGCUGCUGAUGCAGACAAUUUCUUAUACGAGAUGCCCCCAGCUUGGCUUUGACUAGGUGAUAAUAAAUUGACCCCUAAAUCCUCACCACCAUGUGGACUAGAACUUGUAUUAUCAGAAGGUUCAAAACUGCAAGGCAAAUCACUUGCAACAAGUUCUUGUUUGUAAGAUUCCAUAGCAUCUUCAACUGCAUCAAUCACUAUGCUGUUAUCAACAGCUCCUUGUGCUUCAACAUCCCCAGAUUCAAGCCCCUCGGCAGUUGCACAACUAUCUUGCACAACUUUAUUCAACUGAGUUUCUUCUUUCUUCUCAGUAGAAACUACAGUAUCAUCUUGUGAAUCUUCUAUAGAAUCGGACAAAGAAUCGUCAGACUUCUCUUUAAACACGUUAUUCGCCUCUUUUGGGGUUGGAUCGAUGUUUCUAUGAGCUUCAAUAUCUUCCUCUUCAUGUUUUCCAACAUCAUGUUCCUGACUAACAGAAAUCUCAUUUUGAGGAUUAUAGACCUGCAACUUGGAGAUUGUCCCAGGAGGAGCCAAGGCUACUUCCUUGUAUGAAGGACUUUUACCAAGACUAACUAUAGAAGUCUUAACAGGAUUAACCUCAAUUGAAUCAACUUCUUUAUCACCAACAAUUUCUAAUGUCUCAUUUGCAACAGUCUUAGAAGCAGAUGGUGUAGACUUGACCCUGUACGCAACAGCCUUGACUGCUUUCCUUCCGAAUUUAGCGCCUUGGCUGAUGUUUACAGCACGGUUAUCAGCACCCCCAUGGUGUAUUGUCCGCUUCUUCAAGAAAUAAUACUUGCUAUUCUGAUUAGCACUCUUUACCGAAGAAUGUUCAGUGCCAACUUCCACAUUCUUCUGGUAACUAUAAACUUUGCCAUGUGUUGCCCGUCUUUGUUUCAGUCUCCGACCAUAUGAACCAGCUGAUCUUGGUCUUUGUACUGAUUGCCAUCCAUCAUCUCCAUCGGGAUGUGCUUCGGACAAUAAUUCAUUAGAAGGUUGUGGCUUUUCAUCCAAGAUCUUUUCUAAAAUUGGCUGUUCCGGAUCAGGUGCUGAGUUGCUCUCAUUCUCAGAAUCUGCACUACUUGCUGGUUCAGGUAUAUGUAGCUCUUCAUCUGAAGCCUCUUUCUGAAUUUCUUUUGAAGACUCAUCAGAACUUACUGACACAUUGUUCUGGUAGGAUAUUGCCCUCACCUGACACAUAAUUAACAAACAAAUAUGAUUUGUAGUACAAAAUAUGGAGAGGUAAGCAAAUCUCAGUUCUCACGUUAAUGUGAUGAGUAAUUGUUUAAGCGCUAGAAAAAUUGCAUCCAGAAGACUUAUUAAAUUGAUCUUGAAGCACGUCCCAUAUUAUUUACAUCUCAUUAUAGUAUAAAGAAAAUACAAAAACGAAGAUGAAUAAGUUUUACGUUCAAUGUUACCAUGUUACCAUUUAUAGUUUACACAAUGAGUACAAUGUACAACAAUUAUAUUGAUGGUUAUUCCUUCUUCAAGAUAGACCAUUAGCCAGAUUUCUCUCGAUCCUUUAGCAAAUUACCAAGUCAUACAACAACCAAACCUUAUCCCACUAAUUGGGGUCGGCGAAUGAAUCAAACGAUGCCAUUAUGUUCUUCACAUAUCAUAUCCCUAUCAAACUCAUUGAUCUCUAGAUCUUUUUCAAUAGUAUCUCUUGUAGUGUUUCUAGGUCCGCCUCUAGCGAUUUGACUAUCAUCCAUCUAAUCUACUCUCUCUACUACAGAAUCUACAAAUCUUCUGUCUAGCAAAUUACCGAGUCAGGUAUAUUAAAUACCAGACUACUCCCUCUGUUCAUUUUUCUCCACUCAGAAAUGAAGUUACCUAUUUGAAUUAGUAUUUUUGCAAUACAGCGUAGGUAACUCCAAAUUUAAGAUUAAAGAUUGGUUUUAUUAUUGCUGUCUGUAUCAGACAGACUUAAAGCAAUCCUUAAAGCAGAGAGAAAGAAUUCGCAUUAGCCAGAGAAUAGCUCCACAAUAAUAAAAUAUCCCUUUCAUGGGUUAUGGACAAGUUAAAGAAUAGCUCCACAAUUAUGAAACUCUAAAAUGCCAAGAUAAUCAAUCAAUCAUUCAGAGCAAUAUCAGAAAAUGUAUAUUUAGACAGAAGACAGCAGCAUUCAUAAAUUAGACAACUCUUUUAUAUCUUUUUUGCUAGGUCUUAAAGAAUUGAACUGAUGAGAAGAUUAUCAAGUCCAGUAAAUCUGGGGAACUUUUGUUACCUGGUUUCUUCUCUUUGCUGCUGCAUCUCUCCCUUUGGCAUCGUGAUUAGGAUUAAUGUAGUCAAGAAGAUCCGACACACUGACAAAUUCCACGGAAAUAUAGGAAAUCAUUACAAAUGGUGUAUGUGAAUGUAUCAUAUACAAAUAUCAUAUGCUUAUAUAUAAAAAAAAAUAUAUACAAAUAUCACACACACACACAAAUAUAUCAGUUCUUUCACUGAAAUUACACGCAUCAAUGUUGACAAUUCAAGAGGAUAACAUAGCCCUCUACAAACGGCACACACAUAAAAUAGGAGUUAUAUCUACUUCGGGCACAUGUGACAUGCACAUUAAAGUUUGCUCUUUUGCAGUGUCUAUGUUAGAUUUUGCUCUGUUGCAGUGUUUAUGUCUGUACUGUGUCCAAUGUAUUCUUAGAAUUGACACGAAGUUGUUUUUUUUUUUUUUGGUGAACAAAGAGGGCCAAAGCCCAACACGAAGUCAUUUUCAAAUGUCAAGUAUAUCCAUGAUUGCAUACGAUGUACAAGAAAUAAUUUCUUCAUUAGUCAAAAACAUUUAGAUAGUUCUACUAGCCAUAAAAACACCAAGAGAACUGUAUUAACGACGGUCAUUGACCACAGGCUUCAAAGACUGUAACAAUAUUCAUCUCAGAAUUACAUAUUACAUUAACUGUAAAAAAAUUACUCCAUCAAAUAACACCAAGGGAAAUAUCCACUACACGAGUACUUCCUGAAGCAGAAACUAAUCAAUUAAGUAUCAAAUUCAAAUUAAAAUUCAGAGCAUAAUUUCACUAUACCUUAGAUGACCUUUGCUAGCUAUUGAUGCAUCAGGUUUUCUCGUACCAUUUCGAGCAGCUUCUUGCUGUUCAAAAGCCUUGGACUCAAAAUACUCGAGCCAAGCUGCAGCGUCCUGUAGAAUUCAUCAAGAAACUAUAGAUUAUGCAAAACAGUUAUAAUUCUGUGUACAUUAUUGUUUUAAGAAAAAACAGAAGUGAUACUUUUAGCAACACACAAUGUCACACAUAUUCAUAAUGAUAAUGAUGAUGAUGAGAACUAUUCAAACAUUGUCCUGUGACACCAUUUAAGACUUCAAUCAACCAGCUAUAAUAUUGUCGAUUACUAGUUUACUAUUCAAAAAAAAAAAUUGUGACAUCAUUUAAGAAUUCAAUAUACUGACUAAAAUACUGUUAACCACUAACUUCUGUUCUAUUAUGUUUGAUACUACUAUAUUUUUUAAACCAACUAGAGUUUGCAGAACAUAGAACUUGCUUAAUGUGACAAUUUACCUGUGUUCGCAAGUCAUCAGGGCCAAGCUUUGCCCUCAGAAUUUGCAAAGUUGUUUGCUCAUGCUGCACACUCAACGGAUAUGCUUCCAUCAACGAGAGUGCUAUUGCUAUUGCAUGGUAACUUGCAGCUGUCUGCAAAUAAUCAGCAUCCAAAAAAGAUGCAAAUGUUAUACACAAAUGAGAAGCUUUAUUACAUAAGUAAUGCAAGCCUAUAGGUUAAUAUUAUUACCUUCUUUAUAUAUUUUGAGUUAAAAUUAUUAAAAUUGCCAAGAGUACUAAAAUAGUAACAUCAUCAGCAUUUAAUAGUAACGCAAAAUCAGCAAUUUCAACCUACUAACUUCACUCGUUACUAUAAAGCAUAUUAUGACAAUUAUGUGUUAUGAAACAUUCGACAUAGAAUUUAAGUAAAAUGUAGGAUUACUCGGAAAUAAAAACUUCAAACUAUGGCAAAAACAGGAAAUAAAAUGAAAUAAACUAAAACCUGAAUAUGAUCUGCACCAAGUAAUUUUUGGUUGCACUUUAAUGCUUUGUGAAGAUAUCUGAGAGCAAUGUGUACAUUUCCCAGACCUUCCUCCAUCAUAGCAACAUUAAUGUAAGUUGCGGCAGUAUUUGGAUGAGAUGGGCCACAUGUCAGAUGCAAAAGGUAUAAAGCACGCUUCACAUAUCUGAUUGCAGAGACAAGCAGUAAAACAAUAGAUCAGAAGAAAAAUUGAAAAUAACGCUAUUAUUAUCACAAAACAUCAAAACUUGUCUUUACAAUACUUUUGAAGAUUAAUUUAAAUAUAGUUCAAAUAAGUAGGGAAAUAAACCUAGACAGUCCUGUUAGAUAGGACACAAUAAGUAAGGGUAUUCAAUCUUCCUCUUUUGUAAACAUUGUUUUCUCUCUUUAUAAAUUAUUCUUCUUCAAGUUAAAAAAAGUAUAAAUCAAACUUAAAAAACUCAGUUAAAUCUAUACACCACAACAUUGUACAACGUUAAACAUACUUAAGAGCCAGUUCUGUGUGUUGAAGUCUGUAAUAGAAAACAGCAAGAUCCCCAUAGCUCUUCAUGGUAUCAGGAUGAUCCAGACCUAACUCUCUCUCAUUGAUAUCCAAAGCUUUUUGUUGAUAGAUCGUAGCCUGAAAUAAAGUAAGAAACUUAAUGAACUGAAAUCAAAUUUUGGACUUGACAAAAAUAGAAAAAGUAGAUCAGAUUUUUUGGUGUAGAUGCAUUUUUAUAGACAAAUUGUUACUAGUUAAUUUGUUGGGGGGAGGGGGGGUUGUUAGUGCAGGGAUCAAACCAUGGAGAUCCUAUAUAAAUACUUCUGUGUCCCAACCCAUACAACUGGACAACUUCUUCAGGGAUUGGUAUAGAUGCAUAAAAACUAUAUCUGAAAUAAAUCUAUGGUUUGAUGAAAUAAUGUCUACCAAUACCAAAACAUUAAAGAUUAAAAUAAACCUGAUUAAAGUCUCCGGUAUGAUAUAAAACUACAGCAAGGAGGCUGUAUGCUCCUGCUGUCAUCCGAUGGUAGGGACCACAAACUGCUACGAGCUUUGCAAGAGCCUGUUACCAUAAAUUAAAGCGGAUAACAUAUGUCAAUUUCAGAAUGAAAGAUAUUGAAUGUUGAAAAACUUUUUCAACAAUUUGAAGAUUUCCAAUUAAAAGGUUCAGGCUACAGAUACCUUUGUCCCAUAGGUAACAGCAUCUUCAAGCUUUCCCUUGUCUAAAGCUGUUUUGGAGGACUCCAGAAGCUGCCUUCCAUCUGCAGAUGAGCAUGCUGCUUGCUGCAAAGGAUCAGCAUAAGAAAUGCACAAGUUAGGGCAUAUUCAAUAAUCUUCAAUACAUUAUGUCAGAGAACCUAUGUUCAACAUGUCGGCUACCUUGUGAACUGCAACCAAGCUGACAAUAUCAGAUUUUUGGAAGGGAAAUGGAGAAUCCAUGUCAAAGUCCCUUGGAACGAGCUCAAUUCCCACCUAAAACAGAAAACAGUGAUAAGAAACAAACUGUCAAUGAUCGAUAACUCAUUGAUUAAUGAUAAUCUUAAGCCCAACAUAUUGACUGAUUAAGUCGGUCUCAGAUUAAUCUAUAUGUACCUGUAUGCACAUAUGUUGUACAGGCAAACAUGAAUGUUUUCUAAUAAAAAGAAGGGAAAAAACAAGGACAUACAACAGAUAUUAGAUGUACACAAAAAUGCUAUGAGAGCUGUUGCAGUUAAAGGAGGAAAACAGGUUCACUUGUUUCACGACAAGAGUGACAUACUCUUUGUAUGGGAUGAAAAUAAGACCUUCUUAUGUCAAUAAGGUAAUAAAGGUAGCAUAUAAGCAUGUAAAGUCCACUCUUCAAAAGCUCCAAAUAAUUACUUGAGGCUAUUUCAACUUCACAGAGAAGUAAAACUCAAACUCAUUUUCUUUAAUGUGUACGGUGACAAUAUUAAAGUGUAAAAUUCAGCUUACCUAAUACCUCAACAGGUCCCUAUCUACUUUUAUAGUAACUGAACUUAUAACCAACCAACAAAUACUUGCCAAAAUGAAUCACAAAAUCUGGCACAGUAUAUUACUUCAUAACAACGUAAUCUGUAAUGCAAGAGCAAGUAAUAACAGAAACCAGAGUUUUUAUCAACUAUUAACAAUUUCCAGACUCCAGUACCUUGUGACACAAGCCGCGUAGAAUUGCAAAUUUCCGCACAUCUUUAUAGUUCAACCUGCUAAGAUCCCAGUCAAAUCGUUUCUUCAAAAACAACUCUAGCCAUUUCCACACAAGAGGGUGGACAUCACAUGAUUUAUCUGAUUCUUUAUUUUCAGGAACACCAAGCAGCAAGUUCAAUGCACCAGCUAUUGAUGAAGCCAUGUUUUCCUUGUCAACAACAGAAGAAAUCACUGCCCUCAGGAUGUGCUUGAAAGCUCGAACUAUCAUCUCAUGAAUGCAAAGUGAUUGCACAUGUGAAAGUUUUUCAGAAAGCUUGACCUGUGAAGAUAAGCAAAAUGCCAACAUCAUACAACAUGGAAAAGCUCACAUACAAUAUCAGAAAACUAAAACAAAAUCCCGCACAAAACCUUCUAAAACAUAUGUGGCAGACAGUAAAAGGGAAAAGACAGAAAGUCCAAUCCAAAUAUAAAGCAUUUUAGUUUGACCAACAUUUAUAAUCCCUAAAGGCACAUUUUCAGAGCUAGUUAUGCUAUUUUAGAGAUGUCAAUGAAACACUAACAUAAGCCAUUUUGUAAAUGUUGACUGUAGAAGAAGCAUGAAAAAGAAUACUCUAUUUGAUAACAAAGAGGACAAGUAAAUAAAGUUUAGAGCACUGACAACAUGUCCAAGAGAUCGCAUUCGUAGACCCCUAGUAUGCAUAAAAUCAGUUAGCGUGCGGCCAUCAACUGGAGAGAGUUCCAAUGAGCCAAAAUCUGCUACCUGUAUUGCAAAAUUAAUAGUAUCAUAAAAAUCGUGAGGGUCAUAUUAACAAGAAAGCCUUGCAGCCAACCAAUGAAAUAAAAUUCUAUAAUUACCAGUUUUGGGAUAGCAACAUCCAUGUAAUAUUUCUGAGACAAGUCGAUCAAAUCUUGCAUAGACUGUUAACAAGAAAAAAUAGUUUGGUUUAGACACCGGAUGAAAUAGAUUGGUUUUGUUGCUAUGGAACUUGAAAAUACAUUGUUACACCAAGAGUAUUUACCUUGCAGUGAAGUCCAGUUCCUGAUUCUUUCAAUCGGGUAAAAGCUGCCUCAGAUAACAUCCGUUUCAGCACAAGCUCAUUGUCAACUGCUGCAGUUUCAUGUUGGGAUUCACUUGAGGACAAUGCAUCAUUUUCACCCUCGAGGUUAGAUUUUGAAUGUUCAGAUGCACAAUUAGUAUUGGUUGAAUCAGAUUUCUUUUUAUUAUUCUUGAGAGCUUUGAGGGGUUUCCCAAGACCCUCAACCUUCAUUUCAUUGUUAGCCUUCUCCAAAGAUGGUUUCUUAUCUUUUUCUGUACUGUUUUGGUCUUGCAAAUGCUGUACCCAGCACGCUCCUAGUUCCCAUCUUACAAAAUAGUCCGAACUUAGUUCCUCUUCCUCAAGCUUAGCAAGGCUUUUUUUAAUCAGCUUUUCCACAAAAGCAUCUGUACCACCAAGCUCUUCACUCUCAAACAUUUGUAUCUCGUUCAUCUGUUUAUUGUUCUCUGGCAGGGCUGUGCUGUGAAGACGAAAUCUUAAACUGCAAGGAACAACAAAAUAAUUACACGCCCUAUUAUCAUUGGAUCUGGAUAAAUGAGAACUUACUCAACCAAAGGAAGCUAAAACAACUGUUAUGAAGUUUCAAAAAAUGCAGAAAUAUAAUCAAAUCUAUAAAAUAAUAACAAAAGCCUUUUCCUACUAGAUGAGAUCAGUUAGAUGUAUAAAACAGCGUCAUAAUGUAUAUCUAAAAAAAGAAAAACGCAAAAGCUAUAACCAAAAAAUAACUGUAAGUCAUCCAAACAUCGAGGAGUACAGUACACUAUGAAAAUAAAUUUCUACGUAAAAGUGAGGAAAGCUCAAAACUUCAUCAAAAUAAACUCCCAGCAAAACUUCAUGAAGUAUAUACAGUAUGUAAAGCCAUAAACUAGAAAAAUUGUAUAAUGCAGAAAACAGAAGGGUUCAAGAACCUGUUAAUAUUUAGUGCGUUGGCACCACCCUCUGGCUGAUCAAACACUUCAUUAUUUUGAUGAAAUGAAGAAUUGGCAUUGUCAUUAGCUCCACCUUCAACUUUCACAACAACCACAUAACCACAAUAUCUUACAUAAACAACACCUAAAGUGGUAAUAUCCUGCACAUUAAAUGUGACAUAUAUUAGUUCUAUGAAAGGCAAAGUAGCAUCCAAAGAACCAAUUUAACCAAUCUUUAUCUAUAUAAAAAAAAUCAUACAUGGGCGGCAGUAUUUUCAUCUGCAGUGAUCCCUUUCAGUAAAUUCCGCUCGACUAGAUCCUUUUGAUUUACUCCUGUAGCUUCAACUCCAUCAAUUUUGGAAUCAAUCUUACAGCUUGCAACAGAACCGUCUUUCAAGACUCUAACGCUCAAGUCACCUACUCUCUCACUGUAAAUAUCAUUUUCUACUGCUGAGCAGUUAAAACUGGGAUCUUCCAAAACAUGUUUAACAGCCCUAAUUGCUCUGAAAAUGGCAACGUCAACAAACAGGCUGUGCAGAAGAAAUGCUUUUCUAUCACGGCCUUGCCUUUCUUCUGCUGUCUUGCAGGGCAUAGAUGCAAUAAAAGAAAACUUAUUGGCCCAAGGAAUCAAAUCAUACUCUCCGUCUCUUCCUAGACCACCACCAUUUCCUCCCCAAUUUUCAUCCUCCACGGGAAGAGGAGGAAAAAAUGAUGGUGAUUGAGCUGCAAUAGGAGGAACGAGCCAAGUGUUCGAUCUGAAGCCAUAUGGGAGAUUUCCAAACUGAAGACAGAAAAUGAGGCAGAGAGCAUAAGUAAAUACAGUGUUAGUUGCAACAAGCAGCAUUUACAUGCGCCAAUCAAAGCCAUUAACAUGUUUUCUGCUUCUUUUACCUAGUUAUGUCAAAAUUUGAAUUGUAGAUAAGAAAUGCAAAAAAAAAAGGAAGUUGUUCAAUACCUUGUUACGUUCUGAAAAUGCCUUCAAGAGAUCAUCGUACGCCUGAAAAUUUAGAAGAAAUUUGUUAAUUUUACAAAAUUAGAAUAGAAAAGUGCAUGUGUUUAAGCUUUUAAUUUUUUUUUUGAAUUUUUUUUUGUUCAAAUCAUACAAGAGCACGGACAUAAUUUCGAAAUCUGAAACAACGCAUGUCAAAACUUAAAAUACCGAAUUAUAUAUUUGAUUAGAACAUUUGAAAAUUCAAUUACCAAGGAAUAGAGACUUCACAAAUAAAGCCUAAGGAUUGGCAUUCGAUUGUUGUUUUCUGUAUUUAUAUGUUUACAAUUAUAUAUGUACCCAAUGUGUCUAUGAUGUAGCAUCAGGAGGACUAUUAGCUAGUGUCUAUCAACUUACAAGAAUAGAGUAUAGUUUCAAAAAUUAAAGCAACACGGGUUAACAUUUAAUUUUAAUAGUAGAUUAUAUAUUUCACAGUAAAAGUUUUUUUUUUGACAAAAUACUCCACAGUAAAAGUUGUUUAAAACUAAAUUAAAUUAAAGAGACAAAAAGUGGAAAGAGCACAAACAUUGUCAAAAGCUCUGCUAAUCUGUCUCAGCAAAUCAACAAGAUUAUGACACAGAAUCCUCUGCUUCCCAACACUGUAAAACCCCUUUCUGCAAGCCUCAACGUGCACCACUUUCCCGUUGCAAACCUUCACCUGAGAACACAGCACAGCAUAAGCAUGUUUGGCAAAAAUGGAAAAAAUUAGUUUGGAAGAGAUACAUUUAAUAAUUGUAAAGAUAAAUGUUCUCCUUGGCAAGUCUGAUCUGCUUGCUUAAUAUCACUCGAUCGGCUUAUAGUAUUUUUUGACUCACUUAUAACUUUUUUUUUAUGUUCUAAUACCCUAUCCAAGAAUUAAAAAUAUUUAUCAAAAUUGUUUCUAUCUUUAACCUUACUAUUUAAAUUACAUUCUUUCUCAACCUUAUGUUAAACUAAACAAAAAAUCACAUCAUGUAUAAAAUAAAAUAAAAUAAAGAAAGAAUAAUAAUAGAGUAUAUAUUUUACUAAAACAUAAAAUAUAUAAAAUUAUUAUUUCAUUAUCUUAUCACAUUUCGUUUAUAUGAGUAUGUUAAAAUAGAAUAAAAUUAAAAAAAUAAAUAAAUACUAUUCAAAUUUUCAAAGUGAUGAAUAAAUAAAAUAUUAAAGGAGAGCAAUAUUUUAAAAUAGAUAAUAUAAAACAAUAAAAUCAUAUAAAAUUGAAAUAAAUAUGACAUUUUACAUGAGUAAUAUUUAUUUAUUCUUUUCAUCGUUAACUACACUAAACAUUUUAAAAUUAACUAGUUAUUAUGAAUUAAUAUACCUUCACUUCCCUCAAAAAAAAAAAAAAAAUACCUUCACUAUUUUUUCAUUUUUUGUUGAUAAAUUUCACUUUUUUAAAAGAAUAAUAAAUUUUACUUAAACUUACUGUCAAAGCAAAAACACAUCCCUAAAAUCACUUUAAUCCAAAUUCAUUUUAAAUUAUUUGGUUUCACUUGAUUUCAAUUGAAUUGAUAUUAGAAAUAUGCUUAUGAAAAAAAAUUACAUUUAAAAUCACAUUAAGAGAUAAAAACAAUAAAUUCAAAUCUAAUUUUAAAAAAAAAAAAAUCAACAUAUUAGUUUUGUUUUUAAAUCAAUUUUGUCUUUUGUUCAAAAAAAAUAAUAAAUCCAAUUUUUCUAUUAUUAGGAGUAAUAAAAACGAGAAACCAAACAUUCACUAAUCAAAUCAAAUUUUAAAAAAUGCAGACAAACAUGGACACGCGCGUGUUUUUAAAUUUAACGCGCGACGAGAAAAUGAAAAGGCGCGAAAAAUACUUACAUCGAGCGAGAAGAGAUGAUCCUCCUCCAAUAUCUCCUCCACAUUUCGCUUGGAAGCUUUCUUCACAUCUACAAUCAUCAAUUCACAUUCAAUUUCAUCGCAUCAACCAUCGGAAAUCAAUGAACGAAAAAGCUUGAAAGAAGAAGAAGAAUUGUACAUUGAAGAGGAGCAGUGAGAUGCGAAAGAGAGAAAAACUCGUAGAAACUCUCGAGCUUAGGACAUGAGUGGCUUAUAUCUCCGUCAGCGUCCGCCGCAGCGGCAGCUUCUUUCUGCAAUUGCUUUGCCGGAGGCGGUUGAGAUUUGGUCGACUUCGCCGCAUUCUUCGGCGGAGACGACGGACCGAAGCUGGUGGUGCAUGCAACGAUGUCCAGAAGUCUUCGCACGUGUGCCACCGCUCCAUCUGAAUCGUAAUCCUCUGCAAGUGUAAAAUGUAGAUGUAAAAGAUUAACUAAACGACGUUGUAACCGUUUUUCUUAUUCUACUUUAAAAAUAAAUAAAAAAUGAAGAGAGAGAAAGAGAAAUGAACCUUCAACUAAAGUGAGGAGACAUGGCUUCAAUGCGGACACAUCUACCGUAUCCUUUAAACGUACACCUCUUAUCUGUAUUAUCAUCAUCACAUAAAGAGUUCUAUUAUGAGUUAUCACAAUCAAAAUAUACAUAUUCUAAUAUAAAUAAAAUUUUAUAAUUUCAUUCUAUAUAAUUAUAUAUUAUAUUUAUUUGCUUUUUUUAUCUUAUUUUGUUUAGUGUACAUUUGUUAUUUUUAUCACCUUGAAUUUUUAAGUUCAUCUAGAACAAGAUUUUAAAUCCAAGGUUCUUAUGUAUAUUAUAUUGGAAUUCAUAUAUAAAUUAUUAAUCUCCAAAAAUAAAUUUGUAUGUGCAUGAUUAAGUAUCAUUCUAUAACUGACAAAAAGUCGUUAUCUAUAUUUUUCAUGAGGUCCAUAUUUAUACUUAAAAAAAAUUUAAAAAUAGGUCGAUAUCUAUUUGAGCUUAGGUCGAUACUUUCUAGAGACAAAUAUACAUUUAAAUUUAUUCUUUUUUAUUUAUGUUUUUCUUAGAUAACGAUUGGUGUUUUUCACUGGCUACCAGUUUCUAGAUUUGUCAAAUAAAAGUCAAAUGUAGUUUGUUUGAAUUUACAAAAUACCACACACAUGUGUAACACAUAGGUGACAUAAAAAUGUGUGAAAAAAUGUUAAUUUUAAAUUAAAUAAUAUGAUAAUUAAUUCAAGUUUGAUAAUCCUUAUAUUGUGUCGUUAAAUUUAACUAAUUUUAUCUCAAUGAUAAAACGUUAAAUUAAAAUUAUAUAAUCUAUGAAUGGUACACAAUUUUUUCACCUCAUGUGAUAGUGAAAAGUUGGUGAUGUAACACGUCUCAGUAUUCACCGAUAAAAGCCGACGAACAUCUAUUAUUCUAUCCGUUGAUAUCCCCUGCUUCAAAAUAUCAAAAAAUUCAUUUAAAUAUAAAGUUUGUAUAAAUAAUAAAUAAAAAAACAAUAAUAAAGUCGUGAAAGCUAAAGCAACUUGAAAAUGAGAGAAAACCCAAAUUCUUCAUGGUAAGUGGAACUAUUCACCAAUUCAAGCAACAUAACAGAAAAUUGCAAAAUUGGGUUUGUUGUUUUGUUGAAAACAGAUACAUUCAUAUUUUGUCUACAUGUUAUAUCGUCAAAUUAUCAUUCCAUAGCCACACACUUUGUAUUCUACCAAAAAUAAGCUAUAAAGAUUUUAUAAUAUAGCUAAUGGUUGAAUUUAAUUAUUAAUAAUCUAUCUAUGAGGUAUAAAGUUCAGCACUACUAGCCACAAUUUAGUUAAAAUAUGAGAAACAUAACAAAAACCUGCAUAAAGUUGUUGACAAUGCACAAAAAAUAAUAAUAAGCUAUUAGAGCAAGAACCAUGACACUUAUACCAAAUUAACUAUUUUUCAAUCUCUUCACAAAUUAAUUAAUAAACUUAAACAAACCUUGAGAACAACACUAGUUUCAUCUGGAAGGUUCACUGUGAUAUCCAUGACAACAGGAAGAACUGCAAAAUUACAACUAAGUUAAGUAUAUGAUUAUUUAACAAAGCUUUCAAAUUAAGUGCUUAUAUUAUAACUUAAUUAAUUGUAUAAGAAUAAUUCAAAAUUAGAAAUUUUGUUACCCUUCUCUUCCUUCUUCUUCUUCUCUCCCUUGGCCUUUCCACGACUGUAUCUUGGGGCCAUUUUCAAUUCCUUUGAGAUUGAAAUAAGAAAAAAUAGAAAUUAAAGCUUUAUAAGAAUACACAAAUGCAUAAGUUAAGAUAAUUUACACAUUAGAAUUGCUAUAUAAGGUAGUAAUAUAUUUUUUAUUCACUAUAUGUUGCACAAAGAACAAAUUAAAGGUUAUCUAGAGAAUACUUUAGAGGUGCAAAGGAAUUUACCAAGCAAGUGCUUUAAAUGAACUUUGAGGUUGAAGAUGACAGAAAGAGAAAGAGAGGGGGGGUUCUUUAAUGUGUUAUUGAUAAGAAUAUAAAGUACAAAAUGAAAAAGAGUGAUAAAUGAGGUAGGUUGAGAAUGAAGAUAAUGAAGUGUGCAAGAAUGAGGAAAAAUGAUAGAGGAAGAAAAAUAGGAGAAGGAAGCAGAAAGAUAAUAUAGAGGAAAGUGUGGUAUGAUAAGGAAGGAAGGGCUGAGAUUCAAUGGUCAGAAUCAUAGAUUGGCAUUUUAUGGCAGCUUGCUUAUAACAGGUUAAGUAUCAAUUUGCAGGGUAUAUCAUGUCUAUAUAUACACCUAUACCUUCAUUUUCAUUUUUUGUAUUAAUUUUUAUUUUUAUAAAAAAAAAAAAAAUAAAGCUUAAUUUGGUGUAAACGAUUCAAUGAAAACGUGUGAUAUUAUUCAUUUAAAUGAAAUGCAAUAAUAAUUGCAAAAUAUUAUAUUUUCAUUAGACGUCUGUCUACGACUAAUUUACAUCGACGAUACUUCUCUCUUUUUUAUUUUAAAAUUUAGAACUUUUUGUUUUUUUAUUAUAUUUUUCAAAUCCAAUAGCGGAAGGAAUUAGUGGUGAUGAAGAGGGGGACCACGUAGUAUAGAUAGGGUAUAGGGAAGCCUUAUUAGCAUCAUAAAUCGCUAUUAAGAAAUUAAAGAAUGCAAAAAAAAUCGAUAAUACAACUACAAGGUUGAAUUUGCAUUACAACGAGAGUAUGGUCUUUUGUCAAAAAAAAGAGUAUGGUCUUCCCUCAAAAAAAAAAAAAAAAAAAAAAAAAGACUAUGGUCUUAUUAACCUUCACAAUAUUGCUCAAAAAAAAAAAACCUUCACAAUAAAUGCAUGGAUUUUGAAUGAAAUAUUGAAACAAUAUACUUAUUUUAGUCAAGGUUCAUAAGCUUGAAUUGGCAAUGUGUUGCACAUUUUUUUCUUGUCAAAGUUCACUCUUUUCAUGGUAUUGUUUCAACCUUUUUAAAAUGCAAGAAAUAGAAUUGUUUGCCUUUAAUGAAAUUAUUUCCGCUAAUUUGGAUUUAGGAGCAUAAUAUGUUGGAAUUUAUAAAAAUUCAAACAAUGGGUAAGUUAUUUUCAUCGACAAAAAUAUUUAAGGAAUGAAGUAGGCUGAUUAACUUGAUUUUUAUAAAAUUCAAAACUAAUUGUGCAUAAAUACAUUUUUCUACGUUCUGUAUUUUAGGAGUAUUACUUCAAAGUAACAAAAUGAUACACGUGAAUGCACAAUGUUCUCAUUAUCCAUUUUCUAACAUUUUAAUAUUUCUCAAUACAAAUUUGAUUAAACUGGCGGAAGAUUUUAACCCUUAAAUAAUCAAUGGUUCGAUAUUUAACUCUUACAUAUAAAACAAUAAACUGAUUUGUUGAGGAGAACAUAUGUACCUUGUGUAUUCCAUAAAAUUGCUAACGGAGAUUAGUUACUUGCUAAUCAACUACGAAAUCUUCUGUAAUAUCCCGCUUAAAACUUUUACGGCAUCUUUAUCGGUUAAUUGAGUUGAAAAGAGUGUAUAAAAGGGCAAAUUGGUAAUUUGCACCUAAAAGGGUAUAAAUAUAACACAAACUCACAAUUUCUUCAUUUUUCUACUUCUUUCUCUCUCUAAAAUCAGAUUUUUCCUCCUCUCUCUAACUCACUCCCUCUCCUCUCCUCACUCAAUCCACCAAAACUCAUCAUUUCUUCAUGUAAUUCAUCAUGCUUUAGUGUUUUCAUGAACUUUAAAAGAAAUCGAACCUUUAGAGCGUGUUUGGAUGGAGAAUGUUUUAAGGUAAUGUAAUGUUUUGAGAGAAUUUAAAUAUUUUGAGGUGAAUUCCAUUGUUUAGAUAAUAAUUUGAAGAAUUUUUAAAAUGAUGAAAAUUUAUGAAGUAUUUUGUUCAAGUUAAAUUUAAAGAAUUUCAAAUGACAUCUAAAAACUAAGAAUUUGAAAUUUCUUUAUUCUUAUAAUUUUUCAUUUAGGUCCUCAAUUUUCAAAUUUACCCCAAUAAAUUUACAAAAAUUGCAAUUUCAGCCCUAAUAUUUUUAUGGAAAUUACAAAUAUUCCCCUCAACUUAUUCAAAAUUAUAAAUUGACCCCUCAAAAUUUUUAAAAAUUACAAAUUGACCCAUAAUUUCAAUUUCCAAAUUUGGCCCAAAAACAUUAAAAUUUAUAAAAGUUGCCCAAAAAUGAUGACAAUGAAAUUUUUUAUUUUUCCAUCCAAACAAGGAUAUUUAAAAAUGAAAUCAAUUCAAUUGAAUCAUUUGAAUUGAUUAGAAUUCUAAAUUCUUCAAAAUUUCUCAAUUACCUCAUCCAAACACACUCUUAGACAACUUGAUCCUUCUAUUUUUCAUCUUCUAAGAAGUUCAUUCAAAUGAUCUUAGCAUGUAGAAAAAAUUGAAGCUUUGCGUUGUAUUUUGAACAUUUAAAGUUCCUAGUAGAUUAGAUCCCACCUUGGGGUUUGAUUAUGUGUGAUGUUGUGAGAAAUUAUGAACUUCACAUAAAUUUAUGCUUAAUAGAUUUCUCCCCAUGAAUUACAUAAGUUGUUCUAUGUUUAUUUGUUGAUUUGCCAAGCUGAAUGAAGCACUUUUUUAUUUUGAUAUAGAAGUAUAAGUAAACUCAUAAGAUUUAAGGGCAAAUUUCAUGCUGAAAAACAAGUUUUAUUCUUCUCCUUCAGUGCAAAAUUGGUGUCCAAUUUUCCUAAUUCAGGUGCUGAUUUUUGACGACACAAAAGUCUCAAAAAUUCUGUCAAAAUCGGGGGCCGAUUUUGACAGAUCCUGAAACAUCAAUUUCAGUCAAAAAUUGCUUGUAACUUCCAAUUUUCGCACCUAUUGCCUCUGAAAUGAUUAUGGAUUUGCUUAACACAUUUGAAGGAUUAUUUUUAAGGACAUAUAAACCACUAAACAUUCUUACAACUUGUGACAUAAUUCAAGAGUGUAUAAGUAUGUUAAGAUUCAGGUUGAAUCCUAAUCAUUAGAAACAAGGAUUUUCAUAGAAGAACUCGACUUAGAUAGUCGAGGACAGUUAACAUCAUAAUGAGUUAGAAACAUAUUAGAUAUAUGUUUUAUGUUAACAAUAGAAAAUGUCACGGCUCAGUAAGCUCUAGAUUAUUUUGGAUAGGAUUUUUCCUAAAGGAAUACCUUCGUGGCAAUAGCUGAUUAAAAUUAGUUAAUCCGUGUCCCUCACAGACUCCAGAUUAGGCUAGAUGGGAUUCUCCCUAGUUGGGAAUCCACACGUAUGUAUAUAAGUAUGUAAUAUAAGCAGAUAAGUCAUGUCCCUCGCAGGUUCCAGGUUAGGCUGGAUGGGAUUUCCUCGCAAGGGAGAUCUACGCAACGAUAAGAAGAGUCUGAUGUUAGCCUCAUAUAGGAAUUUAACCGGUUAUGUAUGGGGAUGUAUCCGUGGUUACUCCACCCGGGUUCAUGCCAUAAAAUAAACUCAGAUUAAUUGUGUGUUACACGCUAACUUCUAACAUGAAUAUGUAAACAUGAUAUGAAUAAGUAUAUGUCAAGAUACUAUGAUAGUAUUCAGACUAGCGAUCUUAGUUUUCCCCGAUUGCUAGUUAUGCAGAAUAGUAAAUCAUGAAAUUAGGUAUAUGCAGCGACAAAUGGCAAUCAUAGAUUCCUUGAGAUUGUCUACAGCCUAGGAUAGGUGGAACUCAUUGAGAUAUUCUGUCUCACCCCCAAACCCUUUUUUUUUCUUUUCAAAUCAGCAUGUUGUUCUUGGCAAGGAAGGACAAUAUAGGAGGUUGAAUGACUUAUCUUCAUAUGCACGUGUCGAACUAGUAUAGAUUAUUUCUUAUGGUUUCAUAUAUGUAUCAGAUAUAUGUAUUUGACAGUUAUAUCAAGUUAGCAGAUGUACGAACUUGCAUUGAUGUUUAUAUUCAUUCGGUCGAAAUUACAUUGUAAUUUUAAUGUAUCAAGUACUAAGUUUAACGCACAUGCUAACUAUUAUAGAUAAGUUUAGUGUGGAUGUUACAUCUUCUUACUCGUAGAUUAAAUUCAUAUGGGUCUCGUCAAUUACCAUGUGGAUCUUACCAUUUUAUGCGAGGUCAAAUUUUAAAAUAAAUCUCACUCAACAAGGAGAAUGAAUCCUCUUAAAAAUACUUGAAUAGUUAUCUUAUUAUGAAAUCUUGUUAUUAUAUUAUUUCUGCAAAAUAUUAAACUUGGAUUUCAAAUACUUGAAUAUUAUUAACUUAUUCUGAAAUAUUGUUAUUCUAUUAUUUCUGCAAAAUUUGAUGUUUUCCCUUCCUAUUAGAGGACAUAUUUGUGUAUAGUUUUUUUUGUUAGUAUGUUAAUAUAUUCUUAGUAUAAGUUUGUUAGUAUAUGAUUGUUAGUAUGCGAAUGCUUAAUCUAUUUUGUUGACAAAGUUUUUAUUUUUAUUUUUUAAACAUGUGUUAGUAAAUAUAUUAGUAUAUGAGAAUGUGUUUGUAAGAAUAUAUAGUAUGUAGGUGUUCGUUAAUAUAAAUAGUAUGAGUUUUUUAACUGUAAAAUUAAUAUUAGUUAUUUUAUAAAGAUAAAAAAUUAAAUCAUGAAGGGUAGCCCCUCAUAAAAAAAAUGAAAAAAUGUGUAUUUUCUAAUGUUUUUUUUCUUGAGAAAAAGUAUACGAGGGACUCGUCAGAAAUGUUUGAGAGGUAAACUCGUCCGAUAAUAUUGUUAACCGACACCUUUUCAAUUGUCUUGUGCCUCUUAAAAAAGGUUAUAUUUUUUGAGUAAUGAUAUUUGAACAAUCUUUUAGUGACAACUUACCUUUUCUCUUUUCUUAUUGGUCAAAAACAAUAGAGAGAGAAAAAGGAAGAGAGAGAAUAAGAAGAUAAUGUGAGUAUGAGAGAGAAUGUUGUAUAAAAGUUGUCAUAAAAUAGAUGUACAAAUAUCAUUUCUCAUAUUUUUUAGAAACUUUAUCCCUAAGAAAUCAACACUUUUUUUUUUUGUAGUGGUAGUCAUGUUUAAUUACAAUGAAAUUCAGAUAAAAAAAAUCUUGCAUUACAAAGAUGUUGAAUUUGCAAUGACAGUGCAAAAAUUACAAUGUUGAAUUUGUAUUACAAAGACGGUAUGGUCUUAUUAACCUUCACAUAAAUAUUUGAAUGUUUGAAUGAAAUAUUGAAAUAAUAAAUUUAUUUUAGUCUAAGUUCAUAGACUUGAAUUGCCAACGUGUUGCACGUUUUUUCUUGUCAAAGUUAGUGAAUUGUUUCAUCGUUUUUAAAAUGCAAGAAAUAGAAUUGUUUGCUUUAAUGAAACCAUUAUCACUAAUUUGAAUUUAGGAACGCAUCAUGUUGGAUCUUAUGAGAAUUCAAGCAAUGAAUAAGUUCCUUUCAUUGAUUGAAAUACUUAAGGGAACCAUAAAGUAUAUUGAUUAAUGUGAUUUUUUAUUUUAUUUUAUAAAAUUCAAUGUUUUAUAACUAGUAUUUUAGGAGUAUUACUUCAAAGAAGCAAAAUGAUACACGAGAAUACACAAGGUUCUCGGCAUAUUCUUUGUAGUUUUUGUUUUUAUUUUUAAGCAUGUCCUACUUUUUUUUAAAAUUGAAGUUUAAUAUUUUAUUUAAACUAGAAAAAAUUUGCAAUUUAAUUUAGUUCAUAAGUUCUAAAUAUGAAACAGGAUACCUUACAGUGGAGAAUCAUUGGUGUUUAUUUUAAAUUUUUAGUCGUUAAAUAGAAUAAACAUCAAUAUAAUUAUGUGGAUAAGUAGACUAAAAUUUUGAGUUACACCAAUUCAUUAUUUGAUGUUGCCUAUGGUUUGGUCUUAUAAAAAAUUAUACUUCCUUUCAUUUUGUUAUUUUUUUACUUUGUUAUUUAAUAUUAUAUUUAAUAUAAAUCUAUUAUAUACUUUGUUUUUUCAAUGUAGUUUUUUUUACUUUGUUUGUAUCUUUUUAUAUAAAAUAUAUGUUAUUCUUAACUUUGCACUCAUUAUGUUAACUUCAAUUUUUUUUCCUUGUCCGAUCACCACAAAAUUUGUAUUACUUUGUCUAACAUUCGAACGUAAUGUAAAACCUAUUUUAGUGAAUUUUUUCGUUUGUAGUUAUACUAACGCAGUAGCCUACACAACGAAUCUUUAUUAGUAUCAUAAAUCACUAUUAAAAAAUUGGACAAUGCAAAAAAAAAAAAAAUUAAUACAACUACAAGGUUGAAUUUGCAUUACAAGAGGGUACGUUCUUAUUAACCUUCACAUUAAAUAGUUGGAUGUUUGAAUGAAAUAUUGAAACAAUAAACUUAUUUUAGUCUAAGUUCAUAGGUUUGAAUUGGCAACGUUUUUAAAAUGCAAGCAAUAGCCUUUCAAAAAAAAAAAAUGCAAGCAAUAGAAUUAUUUGUCUUUAAUGAAACCAUUCUCGUUAAUUUGGAUUUAGGAACAUAAUAUAUUGAAACUUAUGAAAAUUCAAGCAAUGGAUAAGUUCUUUUCAUUAACUGAAAUACUUAAGGGAACCAUAAAGUAUACUGAUUAACGUGAUUUCUAAAAAAAAUCGAAAUUAAUUGUGCAUAAAUAUAUUUUUCUAUGUUUUAUAACCGGUAUUUUAAGAGCAUUAUUUCAAAGAAACAAAAUGAUACAUGUGAAUACACAAAAGGCUCUCAUUAUACCUUUUUUUUUUUGAAGGACUCAUUAUACCAUUUCUAACAUUUUAACAUUUACCUACAAAGAAUUAACUAAAAUGGUAAGAGAUUUGACCCUUAAGCAAGUGGUUAAGGGUUCGAUCUUUGACUCUUCCGUAUGAAAAAAUAAUUAUUCGUAUUGGAGAACUUACCUGAUGUAUGCUAGAGAAUUGCAUACGAAGACUAAUCACUGCUGAUCAACAGUAAAAUCUUCCUACUCGUAGAUUAAGUUCAUAUGGUCCCGGAAAUUUUCAGAUGAAUCUUACCACGUGCAAUCAAUUUUCAAAAUAAAUCUCACUCAAUAAACAAUUUCGGCUAUUCAUGUCCUUAAAGUGCAUACAAGUUGAGUUUCAUGUUAUUAAUAAUUGAAAUCUAAGGUAUUUGGUGUUCUCAAUUGGCACAUUGCAAAUUAUGGUAAAUCAUGGUUUUUUUUUUUUUUUAAAUUUGUAAUUAUGUUAUAUGAUUAAAUUUAACUUGAUUUACUUUUUAAUUAUAAUAACUCUUGAAAUUACGGGGACUUAUUUUUCCAAAAGAAAUUAUGCGACUUGUGUGUGUGUGUUGAAUGAUUCUUAUAAAAAUAAUGCACUAUUAAAAUAUCCUUCAAAAACAAUUAUUUAAAGCUCAUAAACCUAAUUAAAAAAAGUUUAUUAACUCAAUUACAGACUAUUUUUCAAUUCAUGAUCUAUUUAAAUAUCUAUAAAUUGAGUGACAUCUAGAAUAGUAGCUAAACAUAAUUUAGUUACCAAAACACUACUUGUCCAAAAAAACACUACGUUUGCAGAAUCCUCAAUUAUUGUGUAAAUUUUGACCUUUUGCAUGCCAUUGAGCAUGCAUCUCUCUUCAUGUAUUAAUUGGAGAGUCAAUAUCGACAAAAUAAAGUAAUCACCAACCAACCUUAGAAAUGUUGCAUGCACAAACAUUAGGAAUCAUUUACUUAUGUGUAGCAAUAUGCAGCAUGCUCAAACAAUAACAAUAUUGUUUCUCUCUUUUUAAGUCAAAGGGGCAUUGCAAACAAUAUUUGUAACAUUAAUAUUUGGCUAGCACCCUGAAUUUUUUUGCUAUAUAUGUAACCUAUGAAUUGAAGUAGUAGUAGCUAACAACUAAAAAAAGUGCUUGCAAUAAUAAGGAGCAAAAUAGCAUGUUGAAAAGUCUUCUUUGUGAUGAUUAUUAUCCAUUUUGCAUGAAAAUAUUAAUCCUACUAUAAGCUUUUGUCUGUGCCAUUUCAAGCAUGUAUGUAUUUAUAUAUGAGUAUUGCCUAAUUUAGGAUGUAUUUUGUAACAAGAAUGAAAAAUGAAAAACAUAUCCACCAUUCUAUUGAAGUCAAUGAACAAUGUAUGUAGGGUAAUUCAAUCUUAUACGUUUGAGCUAAACUAAUAGUUGUGUAGUAUGUGAGUGGAUAAGUACCCACUAUAUAUCCACCAUUCUCAUGAGAAUGAUGUCUGGAUAACUUUGAUGCAGAUUGCUAUAAAAUUAAUAUAUUUUGAAAUUUGGCUUGUUUUCGUAGUCUCUUGAAUUUUUUAUUUUAAUUUUUUGGAUGUAUAGUCUCUUGAAUUUUGACUUCUUAAAUUGUUAACACUUAUCUUUAAUUUAUAAAUUAUUAGACAUGGAAAAAUGAAAUUACUAAAUUAAGUUGAAUUUCCAAAAAAAAAAAAAAUUAUAAAAAAAAAUUAGUUUUCAACUUUGACACCUCCAAUACAAAAAGAAUCUCGUGAAAAGGACAUGUCAUUUCAGAUUUAAAACUCUUACGGAUUAGUCAAUAAUUUGCUUUUAAGGUGAAGGUGAUUCUUUGGUAUUGGCAAAGGAUAAAAUCGAACAUAUCGUUACAGAAAGAAAUGAAAAAAUGUUGUGUUGCGACAUUGCCAUCUUCACUACGCUUAUUUUAUUUUCAUUUUAGUUCUUCAUUGUCCAACAUGUUCGAUAUUAGCAUAUGGUUGUCUUGUCUUGUAAUUGCCCAAUAAAAUUAUCCUUCAAUUAACUUAAGUGGUACCUUGGUAUCACAUAAAACACAUGAGACUCUUCUCUAUUUCGAUCACCCUCCUUAAAAAAGAAACAACUAAAAGAAAUCAUUUACAUUGUGAACCAAAUAUGGAAAAAUUAAAUAAACCAAUUUUGUUUAAAUUUUAGAUUUUUCGAUGGUUUUGUCUUAACAUGCACAAGCAAAAAUAAUUUUGCAUCAUAUACACAAGUGUCUUUUUCCCCAUUGAUUCAAUAAAUCACAUCAUGUAUCGUUUAAUUUAAUAAUAUGAUUGUUGAUUCAAUGGUAAAAACUAAUUUAUGCAUGAUGCACAAGACUUGGUUUAUGUGUGCACCAUAAAAUUUGCCUUCAUUGAUGAAUAAACAUCUUUCUAGGAGAUCGAUAAAGAAACUUGUAUAUAAGACUUGUUUUUCUGUCUCUAUAUUUUGAAAUCAUGUUUUCAAAAUUUACUUGGCUCAUAGUUUUCCAGCAAUAAUUGAUACUUUCUAGAUCUCCUAAAAGGAAAAUCAAUCGCAGACCAUCUCGUUUCUAAGUACUUUCCAGACUGAUCAUUUUGUUUCUACUUGAAGAUAAGUGCCACGGUAUUUUUUGGAUGCAUUUGCUCGUAUACAAUUAUUAUUACAUAUUUUCGAAUUUCAUUUUUUUAAAACGAUUUUUAUUUUUUAUAUAUAUAUAUGGCCAUUUGUUCAUCCAAUUAUAUAUUAGAAAAUUUUCCAUUAUAUAUUUGUUAUUCCACGACAACAUUGCUUGGUCAUGUGCAUUGAUAUCUCUUUCAGUGUUUCCCUCAUCAAAAGAGAGGUUCCAAUUGACCAAUUAGAUAUUUACAUUUUUUAUGAUUGUUCUAAUCAAUAAUGUAAUCUCAGUCCUUUGUCUUCCAAUUGUAAAUGUAGGUUUACUAAGGGCUUGCUAGAUUAAGUUUUGAAUUUCAGUUUUUAAAAUUAUUUUAUAAAUUACCUUCUAAAAACAAUUUUUAAUUAGAAGAUAAUAAAAAAAAAAUUACCUCAAAUUUUUUUUUGAUCGGUAAUCCUACUUUUAAAGACUAUAUUAGUGAUUUUGUCAAAAAAAAAAAAAGACUAUAUUAGUGAUGAGAAAAUAAAAUAAAAUAUUUCCUAAUUUUGUUUCUAAAUAUGGUGUGUUGAUUUUUAUUUUUAAUAUUUUUAUGGUAAAUAUUGUGAUCUUUUUAUUUUCUGAUUUAUAAUAGCAAGAGAGAUAUACAAAGUUAGGUAAAUUAUAGAGGGAUUGAACCUUUGAAUCAUACAAUGAAGUUGUGGAAAAGAGUGAAUGAGCGGAGAUUGAAAAAAGAAAAAAAAAUGAUAAUCAAUUUUGUUUUUUUAUGGGAGGUUGACCAUUGAAGCCAUCUAUUACUUGUGAUGGUGCAAGAUCCAAUGAAUAAAAAAGACUUACACUAAUUUUCAUUGAUUUGGAGAAGACACAUUAAGGGUGUUUUUGGUAUAAGAGAAAGAAGAGAGAAAUAGAAGAGAAAGAGAUAUUAUUGUUUUUUAAAAAGACAAAAAUAUCCUUGAAUAAAAACAAGAUAUAAUUUAUGAUUGAUUAAUUUAUUUUUGUACAAAUUAACUUAAUUUAUUAGUUUGAUAAAAUUAAAUUGUUUUAAACCGUAAUCCACCUCUCAUAAAAAUAAAAAAACGUAACCAAAAAACAAAUUUAAACCGUAAUCCACCUCUCAUAAAAAUAAAAAAUCAAAAUCAAAACGUAAUCCUGGCUAGUGUGACUUGGUGUUGAUAUGUGGAUAAUUUGGUUUGCCUCUAUUUGGGUACUUGGAAGGAGAGAAAUCACCGUGUAUUCCAAAACAUGGCUUCUAAUUCUUCAACUCUUAUCGAAAAGGUUAAACUCUACUCUUUUUUAUGGUUGAAAUCAAAGCAGGCGACAUUUAGUUACAACUAUCAUGAUUGGUGGAAACACCCGCUUCUUUGUAUGGGUGUCCACUUGUAAGUUUUCUUGUAGGUGUUGACAGGUGUUUUCUUUGUGUUUUGCACCUUGUGUGGUUUGCCUUUUGCACGCCUUGUGCGGGGCAAAUCACAGUUGUUAAUAUAUCAUUUUAGUUUGUUAAAAAAAAUAGUGUGGAUAAAAUUGUAACUUUGGUGGUCUAUUGACACUUUUUCUGCUUUCUUUGCUGGAUAGAGGAGAUACCAAAAGGUAAGAAUGUGGUCUCCUCUAAUUCUCUCUCUUCAACUUCUCUCAUCAACCAAACUGCAGAAAGUCACUAACUCUUCUCUAUUUAUCUCUCACCUAUUUCUCUCUUCUAUAUUUCUCUAGAACCAAACAAAGUGUUAAGGGUGCUAGAGAAAUGUUGCUAAAAGUUCUAUAAAAGAAAAGAAUUAGGAUCAUGUAUAUUCAAGCUACUUAUGAUCUAGAUAGGGCUCUCGACUAAUGUGAAGACACAUGAUGAGACUACAAAAAUAUUUUCCACCACAAUGAGACUUCAGUGAGAAUCAACUUGAAACAAUCAUCUUUUAACAUUAGUAUUAGACAUGAUUAUGAAACAUUUCUUUGAUAAGCCUUAAUUAUGAAACUUAUUCAAGAUUCGACACCGAGAUGCAUACUUUAUCAAAUUUAUAAAGAUGAAAAAACAUAUCAAAAUGAGUUAGCGAGUAACCAAUUGAUUGAGCUUAAGUAGUUAAUGAAUUUCCUUUCAAAUGAAUUGUUUGGAAGAACUCGAGUUCGAUUCGUGGAAGCAACAAUUCUUGGUAAAACUUUAUUUAAUUACCUCUAAGUCGAACUCCAAAUUAUCAAGGUCCGCAUCUCUAGUGAUCUAGAGGAUUAUCAUAAACAAAAAAACUGGGUCAGUGAGUUCGUUAAGACAUAGGAAAAAAAACUACACUCUCAAAUACAUCAUCACAUAGCGUCCGAGUUAGUUGAUGAACCAUCUAAAUCGAAUUAAUGAAACAAUUGUCAAAUUGAUCGAUUUGUUGCAACCUUAAAUCCUUCUGAACUUUAAUGUAAGAGACAUGUACUAUCAUCUGCCAAACCAACAAUGUGGAAAGAAACUUGUAACAGAAAAACAAUGUGGAACCUUAAAAAAAAAAUGUGGAAAGAAACUAAGUCAUUGAAUACGUCAUUAGAAUUUGCCGCUACAAUUAAAUUAAUUGUCCAAAUCCGUGUUUCAUCAACUGAUAAGUAAUAUUUUUCCAUGUAUUGCAUAAUGUUGUUUUCCCUUUCUCUCUUGUGAGCCGUCACCAAGACCAUAAUUUCUUCUCCUUCAUUCAUUAGAGGGGGGUGAUUUAGGGUCAAUUUUUGACCCAAAAUCACCCCUCUAACUCGUUUUUCUCUUUCCCUUUUAUUGAAAUAAGUGAUUUUCACAUCUAUUUCAUUUUGUAUCUCUUGUGAUUUCGUCGUCUUCGUGCGACGUUGGUUUGUUCGUCGUCUUUGUGUGACAUUGUUUGUUUUUCUUGUUUCUCUUAGAUAUUUGAUCGGUUCAAAUUGUCAGAUAAGCUUCAAUCCAAUGCAGAUCCAAUCAACGACUUUGGCGUCAUCCACGUUGCAGAUCCGAGACAUGGUUAUUCCGGAGAUUUAAAUAUAGUCAUAUGUGUAGGCAUUUGUACUUUGCUGUUUUAUGCUAUUAACACGGAUGUUGUGAGCCUGUUCACAGAUUCAUCCUUUUUGUUUUUAGCGAAUUUGCAUUAUAUCGAUGUACUCUAUCAAUUUGAAUGAAUGAAUAUCUUUUAUUUUGUCAAAAAAAAAUAAUAAUGUUCUUUUCUUUUUCAUAAAAAAAUAAUAUUAUUUUUUUAAAAUCCCCUAAACAAAAGUAAUGUUUUUAAAUAAUAUCAAAACACUCUCUACUUAUAGGAUAAUUUUGAUUUUUCAUUUCAUGAGCCUAUGAAAAAUGUUAACACCAAACCAACGACCGACAACCUUGUACCUUAUUUAGUUAAUUUAGUUAUUAUUACUAGUACUAACUUUAGUGCCCUUUUGGCAAGAUAGAGCAACGUAAGAAAAACCAACUAUAUAGGAAAGUGGCCACAUAUAUUCCAGGACCUAUAAACCCCACUAAGCUAACUGUGGGACGGCAUUAGAUUAUGUAAUACUAUUAUUUUGCAUAUAAAUAGAGCUUUCAAGAUUAAACUAUAGUUAACACUAUUGUUCUUUUUCAUGACAUUACACACCGUGUAGCUAUUAUUUUGAUAAUAUUUGUUUCAAUUUCAAGUGCUCUUUAUGUUGUGCUAUUUGUUACAUCAAAUAUUUGGAAAUGGAGAAUAGAGAUUGGCUAAACCAAGCCAAUCAAAUCAAUGUUUUUGUUGAGAAUCUACAAGAUUGAAAGUUCUAAACGAUUGGGCAACUAUUGUUGUUGUCCAAAUGCAAAAUAAUGGAAGUUGCCUUUCAUGAUGAUAAUUAAACCCAAUCCUUAUGUGUAGGCUCUUUUUGUCGUCAACAUUUUGUUUAUUCCUUUAAUGUGAGAGCCCCAUUUACCAUAACAUUUUGAAAGACACAAAUAUGGCCUAGAGUGUCAAGAGUACAAGACAUUACACAAUAGUGUUUUCUUAAGUAGGUUUUGCAAUACACAACUUGAGUAUUUGUGUAUGAGUACAAAAAAUAAUGAAAAAUUGGAUAAAAUUUGAUCCAGAUUAUCAAAGUGGAUUUCGCCAUUUGUCACAAUAGGUGUUUUGUUUCACCAAAUGUAGAAUUAUUGUGUUUAAACCAUAUCAAAGAAAAUUCCUCGUCGAUUUCAAGCUCGUUGGUUUAGAGUUUUUUUUUUUUUUUUUUUGCAGAAAUGCUAAAUCUCACGACAUUUUAUUUUCCGAGAAAUUCACGAGAGGCUAAAAAGAAUAUACUUUUAUUUCAGCAACUAUUUUUAUAGUAAGUGGGACCUCUAUUAUUAUUUUUUGUUCUCGAAGCAUUUUAAGAGUCUUGAUACAUUCAUGAGUUUUUUCUUGCGAUGUGUAGCACGAUUCUUUUUUUUUUAAGAGUACUUACGAUAACAAUAUGUUGUCUUUUGCUUUACAUGUUAUUUAUUUUCUAAAAAGAAAAUCAAGUCCUCUAACUUCAAAGGGAUUUAAAAAUUGGAAAAGGUAAAUAAUGGAAAAGAUUGUGGAUUUUCAUCUCAUAUAUCAUAUGAGAAAAAGUCAUAAUUCCUCGUACAAUGUUACUUUUAGAUGCUAUCAAGAUUUAAAGAACCACUUCUCACAUUGAACUUUUUUUAUCCAAUUAAAACUAAGCAAACACAUUUUUAGUUAUCGCUUGCGGCUUUAAACAUCUGUUGAUGAUGUUAAAUGGUUAGCAUUACAAGCUUGUGUUUUUACAAGAUCUGACUGGGAGUGUUCGUGGAUGGAUUUGGGUUGGGUUUGACUAAAUCUACAAUCAAAUUAAAUAUGGAUUACCCAACUAUUGGGUGAGUUUGGGCAAAUCCACUAAUUUUUAGAUUGGGUUGGAUUGAGUAAUGGAUUACCCAACUUAUUUUUCUAUUUUUAAAACAUUAAAUGACUAAAUGAAAAAUCCGCAUAAUUUUGUUUUAAAAUAGUACUCUACUUUUUAAUUUUCUUAAAAAAAUGUUUAACUUAUUUUACUAUAAUAUAUGCAUCAUAGAAUAUCAAAUAAUAAACUCCAUCAUAAAAUACUUGCAACAAACUAAAGUUGCAUGGCAUAAAAUUGCAUUAAUAUCAAAAUAACCAAAAAGUGCAACAUAUUAAUUUGUAACUCUAGUAUGUUUUGAUUUUUAAUAUAUACGGUACAAUGUGUAUGUUUUGGAAAUAUAACUUUUUUCUACCCUAUGAACAUAAAGAUAAAAAAUAUUAACAUUAUUGAGUAAGUGGAUUUUUUGGGUUUUAGUCUGGUUUUACCCGAAACCCAUUUAUUUUUAUGGGUUUUCCAUUUUUAAAAACCAUACCCACCCAAUUACCCAACACAAUCCAUUUUUUUGAGUUUUUCGAUGGGUUUGACCGGGUUUUCUGGGUUGACCCAACCCAUGAACACUCCUAGAUACGACGAACCAUUGUGAUCUAGAAAUUGAGUAAACAUUACAUUCUACACCGUCCCUUUUUUUUCAUCUUCAACCAUAACUAGAAACUGUUGUCUGUUAGAACACCGGUUAAAUGAAUGAAAGUUGGAAUAAUAAACACAAAGUUUCAUUGGAUAGAGAGUAACCUGCUCAUGACUCACACAUGAUAAUUUUUUCGAUAAAAAAUUUCUUUUCAAGGUAUUAUUUCUAAAUUAGAUUUUGUUGUAUCAAAUUAUAGUCGUAAAAAAUUAGUUUUCAUUGUCUUUUUGCGAUGAUAGUUGUAAAAAACAAUGAUACGAUGAACCAUUAUGAUCUAGAAAUUGAGUCAACACUAUAUUCUAUUCUACGUCUUUUUUUUAUCUUCAACUACAACUUGAAACUGUUGUCUGUUAGAACACCGGUUAAAUGAAUGAAAGUUGGAAGAGUAAACACAAAGUUUCAUUGGAUAGAGAGUGACCUGCUCAUGACUCACACAUGAUAAUUUCUUCGAUAAUAAAUUUCUUUUCAAGAUAUUAUUUCUAAAUUAGUUUUUGUUGUAUCAAAUUAUAGUCGUAAAAAAUUAGUUUUUGUCGUCUUUUUGCGAUGAUAGUCAUAAAAAACAAUGAUACGAUGAACCAUUGUGAUCUAGAAAUUGAAUCAACACUACAUUAUAUUUUACAACGUCUUUCUUUUAUCUUCAACUACAACUAGAAAUUGUUGUAUGUUGGAACACCGGUUAAAUGAGUGAAAGUUGGAAGAAUAAACACAAAAUUUCAUUGGAUAAAGAGCGACUUGCUUAUGACUCAACCUGGUAAUUUCUUCAAUAAUAAAUUUAUUUUCAAGGUAUUAUGAAAUUCUUGCAGGCUAGCUUUCAGAUGUUUUAUACGAUGUUUCAACAUCAGAUACGAACAUAAUGUCGAGGAAGAUGUUUUAACAUCGAGCUAGCAGAAAACAGACAGAACAAGACAAAUAUAACAAAUGUUGAAUUUUAGCGCGUUAGUUAGAAGUUGUUCUAUGUGAUGUUUCAAUUUCAGAUGCACAGUUAGCAGAUGUUCCGUUUAAUGUUCCAACAUCGUGCUAGCAGUAAACAUAAACGAAACAAAAUAAAAGACAAGAAAGUAAAAGACACAGCAAGUUUGUUAACCCAGUUCGGUGACAAACACACCUACUCUGGAGACUACCAAGUCAGGAAUGAAAUCCACUAUUGUAGUCCUUAUUCUAUAGCUCUCAGCAAACUCCUCAUUUACACUAAAGACCUAGGACCUACCCGUAUUGAUUUCAACCUAGGAACUCCUAGGUCUGAGAUCACAUCUCACUAUCCUAUAGCCAGUCACAACCCAUGUGACCUAUCAGACCUAAACACAAACAAGCGGUGAAGUUACCUUCAAACAAACUACCUAACACCGUGCUUCACAACUUUGGUGUAGUGUACACGAGUUUACAACUCAACAAAUAGUCCUUAGCAUGUAUCAAGAUGAUACAAGAAAGGCUCACAAUAAAACAGGACUAAACUUGCAUCAACCGCUACAAAAGUAGAACACACAAAAACUCAAAACCCAAAAAACUAAACCUUUUUAGUUUGACGGCUUCGGUGACAAAUUAGGUCUUGAAGUCUUGUUUAUAUACAGAAGUAAUACGGGUCAAAUAGUCUUGUUGGGCUUCAGAAUAAAUUGCAGAUCGUUCAGCUGAUCUACAAACAUGAAUCAGUACCAAAAAGGAAAGUCCUAAAAAGUAGGAACAUCUUUAUGAACUUCCAAACAUAUCCAAAUAAUUCCUAAAAUAUUAUCAAUCUUUUAGGAAUAAUAAAACAACUGAUUAUGUACAGAUAUGCGCGUUGCUUGGUCACCAAGAUAUGAAAACGAGGUUUCCUUAAUAAGAAAAGACGCGCGUACAAAUAGGCAUGAAAUCAGGCACACUGAACCGUGCCAAAAUGUAGAACAUCGUAUCCAACAUCUUACAGAAAUGCCUAAAACAUGUUGAAAACUUGUAUCCAACAUCACAAACAUGGGUAUUUGUUUUAGCAACAAUGAAGCCAAUACUCAAAUACCCAACAAUCUCUCUCUUUGGAUGUAUUUGUUGAUAAAACUACUAGAGACCAUACAGACAAGGUAGAGAGAUACCACACAUACAUUUCUUCAAUUCAAACCAUGAAGAAAAGUAACACAACUGAAAAACGGACAUGUUGAGACAUCAUCCAAAACAUGUUGGAACAUAGUAUCCAACAUUACAAACAUGAAUAUUUGUUUUAGCAAUAAUGCAGCCAAUACAAAUACCCAACAUAUUAUUUCUAAAUCCAAACAACAUUGUCUUAUGUCACAAUAUUGUUGUCUUUUGUUAAUGGUUUUCAAACGGUUUGUUUUGGGUUUCUUGUAACUAUUUGUAUUUUGCUUGUAGCUUUAUUAGACACAUCUUUCUUAUGCUUAGUAAGCUCUUAGUAAUUAUUAUCAGCUUCUUCAAAAAAAUUAAGAACGGAUUUAGAGUGAGCUUGAGCUACACAACAGUUUUGCAUGGGUGUUACCGAAAACUAGCUAUUAGUAUACUUUAGAAAACGAUUUUGAAGUGAACAAGAAAAUUUGUUGUCUAGAAUUAUCAAAUGCUACACUUGCGUUUGAUCAUGCAAGCAAGAAAAAACUAUUAAACUUAACAAAUAAACAAAAAGAACAAGAGAAACACUUGGUGUAAAAACAUGAUAGAUAUUAACGGAAAUAGAAACUCACCAACUCCCCUUCUCUCUUAUCUUAGCAGAAUCACUUCUUCUUAUAAGUGAAAAGGGCAAAAUAAAGAACAAGCACAAAAUAUUUUUAUAGCAACUCUUUGCUAUGUUAUAACAUCCAAACUUGACAAAACGCUGCUCCAAUUCAGCCAACAUUCUUGAUCACUGAAUCACCAUUGAUUAAUUUAAAAGUUUUUACCUCCUACAGAAGUCAAACUCAUAUAUUAAAGAUAAGUAUCAAUAUUCUCACACUCCCACUACUCUUAGUCUAUGUUUGAUAUCACGGUAAGUGUGUGAGAAUUAUGAUGACUUAUCGUUGUAGCUUAUGCAAAAUCACGACAAAUCACCGUAGUUCUGAUAUAUAAUAUAUCCAUCGUGAUACCAAACAUACAUCUAACACAUGUUUGGUUAGAUGUUUUGUACCCCAAAUUCAUGUCUCUCACAAUUAAGAAUAUAUAUUUACUGUAAAAUGUAAAAACUCCAAAUUAAAGCGUUUCUAUUUCAUUGGUUUGAAGGAUGUCAUUCGUCGAAAAGCACAGAUAAAAAAAAAAAAAUAUAUAUUCUUUUUUUUUUUGGUAGAUAGACGAAAUGGCAAAGUCAUUAUAAAACUCACACACACAAGUGGAGGUACCGGGGUUCGAACCCCGGUCAUGAUAUCCGGCCUAACAAUUUCGGCAUUUUGCCAGUUGAACUAGGACUUCUAGAUAAAAAAUAUAUAUAUAUUCUAAGGAUUAAAAAUAAAAAUUGGUUGGUAUAUUUUGUAGGGAGAAAAAUAUAGUUGAGUAUUUCUAAAUUUAACUCUGAGAAAUGACGUGGUAGCCAACGAGAAUUUUCAGUUAAACCCAAAUCAACAAAACUCCAUCCCGUCGCGCCGCGUCGGAGAACCUAAUCAUCCCUCAGCCACACCUGGACAGUUGCAACCGCGUCACAGCCACCACCGGAAAAUCCCAACGUAAGCAAGGAUAGGUAUUGAAACAAGCUUAAACUAAUCUCAUUAUUAUUAUUCACUUACACCAUUAUAGUGCACAAGCUGUUUGAUAGAAUGCUUGAAUUGUUGCAUUUCGGAAAGGGGAAAAAAUGUGGUGGUUUGGUGUGAAUUUCUAGAACAUGUUUUCACUAAUUUUUGAAGUGGCUAAUACAUUUAUAGAAGCUUAACUAAUAAAAUAAGUGUAGCAGAGAUGAUAGAGAUGAUGAUGUUGCGUUGGAUGUGUGAUUGGUAGCACUUAUUGUAGAAAAGAUGAUGAAAACUCGGCUUAGGUGGUUUGGAAUGUCGUGAGAAGACGUGUGGAUUUUGUAAUGAUGUAGGGUAGUUUAAUCAUUAGAGACAGAGGAAGAAAUUUCAUUUUAGCUUCUUCAAAAAAAAAGAGACAGAGGAAGAACUAGGAAAACUGUGAGAGGAAUUAUUAAGAAAGAUCAGAGAUUGAUGAGUUUGAUAGAAAUAUGUUAUAAGGAGUUGUUUGAUCCAUGUAGGCAUGUAGCCGACCCCACUUAGUGAGAUGAAGAUUGAUAAGUAAUGAAGAUGAAGUUAUUAAUUUGUUGUUUGAAUUUAAAAUACCUGAUCUUUUGAUUGUUUACAAUUUUUUUGGCCAUUGUAUCUUUUCUUAAACAUGAGCUAGAAAAUAUGCAUUAACCUAAAGAAGUUGAAUUAUAUUGGUUAGGCUAUACUUACCUCCCGGCAGAAUUCUGAAUUACCAGGGGGCCCUUCCCCAGGAAACCGGAGAGUUGACACAAAAAAAAAAAAAAAUUAUAUUCCCAUCUUAAAAAGUCCACAAACUUGACAUACAUAUCCAAUAUCAUCCUUUGAUAUAAAAGAAUGAUCACGCCCUUUAAUUGUAUUUUGAACAGUUGUUGUUGUUCUUUAUUUCCUUGGUUCUUGUUCCUUUUGACAGUGGUCUGAUCUGAAGCUUAAGUUUUCUUGUUUUUAAGGUUCUAUGUUGAAUAGUUUACGGAUAGGUUUCUAUCUAUUGGUUAUUUGUUAAUUAAAACCGAUAGCUCAAGUUUUAGGCAAGACAUGUGUUAAAUUUUAAAGUAACGGCGAAGUCAUGCAUUUUCGAAAGCAUGAAUAAGUUAUCUGAUAACACUGUAAUUACUAGAUUAUUACACGAUUGAAUGCUGCUGUAGUCAUAAGUCAUAACUAAUGAUCCAGACAUUACAUAUGUAUCCUUCGUCAAGGAAAUUUGUAUGGUGACACUAUUAAAAAGAUGGUAAGAGUGACAUUGGUGGGAUAGUAAGGGAAAAUUGGUUACUCUGUUGAAGAUAUUCUUCCCAUAAAGUUUUCUUGGUAAUAAUGUGAUAUGCUUGUUCUUGAUAUUAUUGAUGUCCUUAGUUUUCUUUCAGAUUUUGUUUUUCUUUUUCUGAAAGUGGUUUUGAUGUCCAUAGUUUUCUUUCAGAUUUUCUUUUUCUUUUUCUGAAAGUGGUUAUUGAUGCUCCUAUACUAUUUAUGUAAACCUAUUUUUUAGGAGAGAACAUACAUGGUCCUAACUCCUAAGGCAGUUUCUGUUAUUAAUUCAUCUUUUUAAUAUAUAUACUUUUAUUGUAGAAAUUAUGUUUGUCUAAAUAUCUGUGUAUUUUCUAAUGGCCUGAUACAAAUUUGUGUGUUUGAUUUUAUUCUUACUUGCUAUUUGAUUUGCCUCUGUUUUAUUUCCACGUGAUAUGUUUAAAUUGCGUUUCUUGCUUUUGUGAGAAACUUCAAAACUGUGAUUCUUGCUUGUGCGAGAAACUUAUUUGAAUUGUGCUAGAAUAGCCCUUUCAAUGGCUUCCAACCCGAUUAAGGAUGAAGGAAAUAGUAAAAUAUUUAACUUUUAAAAAUUUUAACAUUUUACUAGUGAUUUUGUAAUUACUAGUAUAAUUCAAACACUUGUUUUUUUGUGUUGGCUUUUUCCAGUUUAUGCAUUGAAACAGAAAUAACUUAUCCAACAUAAGCCCUCUUCAAAAUAACUUAUCCAACAUAAGCUCUCAUGUGAUAUGCUCUUAUGCCAUCAGCACUUAAAUAAGCACUUUUCAAUGGUGCAUUAAUAGUUAAUAACAGUACCCUACUAGAAGUCUAGUAGUCAACUAAACCAACUUGCACAUGGAUAUGCACUGGGAAACACGGAUCACAACAAGCCCAUUUAUGUUGAACUCUAGACUUUAUAAACUGCAUUAGAAACAGCAAACUGUCAUCUUCCUUCCUGAUAGUCAUCUUCCUUUUGUUUGAAAUAACCUUUUUCAUUUGAUAUCCACUUUUUUUUUUCUUCUGUCAAGUCUCAACCCAAACUUUCAUUUCUUUCUCACAUAUUUCAAGAUUCUCUACCUGUAUUAACAUUUCACCAUCAAUUUUCACAGCAAUGUUCAGUGCUUCACGUCUUGAUUUUUGGUUGUUUUUUCUCUUUGUUUUCACGUGCGUAUUUUUACUGGUUCUGGAGCGGUCCCAGUUGACGGUUAUACUACUUUGAUCUGGUUUGAUACCAGUUUAAUGACAUCAUCACCAUUCACCGAUUUGAAUGCAUAACCAGGCCGGGUCCAGUUUUUAAAACAUUGUUCCAUGGUUAAUUACCGUGUCAAUUUUGGGCAAACUGUAUAGUCUAAGAAAGUAUUUUAGCUAUUUGCUUCUAAUAUCUUGUUAUUUUAUCUUGAACUAGGUUUCUAAAUUGCGGACAAAUUUUAUUAGUUAUGGGAUUUUUUUCAUCCCUACCAUGUCUUAAUCAUUUAAUUUAAUUAUUUCUGCAGCAAAACAAACCAGAGUGAGCUCUAACUAUGGCUCCUGUUGCUCCUCGAUCUGGUGAUGCAAUAUUUGCUAACAUCGAACACGUUGUAAGCAAAUAAUAUCAAAACCCUCAAAUUUUUUUCUUUACAUAAAAAAUGUCAAUUUUGUUUGAAGUUUAUUGAAUUUUAUUUUGAGUUCAUUGUAUCUGCAUUAGAAUUGCUCUUGGACUGUGCAGAAUGCAGAACUGUUUACUCUGACAUAUGGGGCAAUUGUGCGUCAAUUGCUUACAGAUCUGGAAGAGGUUGAUGAAGUUAACAAGCAGCUAGAUCAAAUGUACAUUUAUGAACUCUGUAGCACCGACACUUCUGAUCAAGGCAUGGUUGGCGUCUGGCACGUGUUAAUGUCCGGCAUCGACACCGACACAUGUGAUUACAUUAAAUUAUGUCAUUUUUUUCAAAUUAUUAUCGGUGUCAACGUGCUAGUGUCGUGUCCGUGUCUGUAUCUGUCUGAAACUCUUUCUAAAUUCAAUAUGUUUUGUUAUUUGUAUCUUCUGAUGCUGUAAAAAUUGUUUUUAUUUUCAUAUCUAAAUAGUUGUGGGAUGUUUAGUUCCAUGUUAUGGUGUGUAAUUGUAUUUGGGUUACUUACUUUCACCAAUAUGAAUUUUGCUGUUUGGUUGGUAUUUUCAGGGGUUAUAACAUUGGAAUCCGUUUGAUUGAUGAGUUUUUGGCUAAAUCUAACGUCUCAAGUUGUGUUGAUUUCAGAGAGACGGCUGAGGUGAUUGCAAAGGUAUUGUUUUGUUGUUUGGUUUCUUUAGAUGCUCGGGAAAAAAUUCUGAAAAUUUAUCCUCAUUGUGAUAAAGGCCGUGUAGAAAUGGCACUUCCGCUUGUUCGUUUAGUCUUUGAUAGUGUCCAGUGUCCCCUUAAUUUGCUUGAUUAGUAAAUAGUGAAAUUAAGAUCCCGUGUUAUUUAAUAAAUAGUAAAAUUUUAUCAGAUAGUAUUCGAGUGCACGGAAGUAUGAUUGGUUCUUUGCUUAAGGUACACUUGAAAUAUAUAAAUAAAUAUCCGAAAGUGUGUUUUAACUUUGAGCUUUUUAAGAACAUUGAAAAAGAGAUCCUGUGUGUCACAAUAAUAUAACUUCUGUUAUGUGGAAGUAAACUAGAACUAAGAUUGUGUUGAUGUGAACAAAAGCUCAGUUAGUUGGUUAGGUUAUGAUGUGUAUAAAUAAGAGGAAUGAACCAGAAAGAAGCUUCUUGUCAAUUUAGAGUUAAGGGCCUCUGGGAGUUGGGAGGCACAGACCAUCGAAGUUUGGGGACCUAUACUGUGAUAAGGAAAAAUCUUCCCGAGUCUUUUGAUAAAGAUAUCACUUCUUAUCAAAAUGACUGAUAGGUUACGGCCUUAGAUAGUUGGGUUACACUGUGAUGUAUGCAUAAAUAAGAGAAAGGUAUAAAAGUGAAGCAUUUUGUCAAAUGGCCAUGUUUCAUAAGCUUUUUUUCAUUUUUCUCUUAUUAAAAAGAUAGUUCUUUUAUUAUUUCAUUUUCUCCCAUUCUUUAGUUAUAUAAUAUAUUUCUUUUUCAUGUAUUAACGUUCACAUAAGCCCAAUUUAUAUGAACAGGUAUGCUUAUAAAUUAUAGGUUUAUUAUUUUAUUGAAAUGAAUGUGAUUGUGUGUGUGUGUGUGGGAGGGAGGGAGGGAGGGAUAAGUUUUUAGAUGGUUUGCAUUCAAAUCAGCAAAAUGUAUUCUGCUUGGAGGGUAUUCAACUUACUUUAGAACACAAAUGAAAUACGGCCUGGCUUAGAGAUUGUUGUUGUUACUUGUAUAUGAAGAUAGAAUUGCAAGCACUAAAUUUAUUCUGGUUUGAGCCCAACAUAAUGGUCAGUACAUAUAAAACACUAUCAUUAUAAUGAUAUUUGCUUUCAAUAAGAAUGUUGUUCCGCUUUUUACUCCUUUCUAAUCAAACCACUUAUAAGUUAUAAGUCUAAAGUUUAUCUUCACUCUUCACCAACUAUUUUUCAAUAUUAUCUCAUCUUAUCUCAGUUAUUGGAUGACCCUAAAUUCAUAUCUGGAUUUUGCGACAUAUUCAAUUAAAUUUCCUUGCACGUUGUAGGUGGUUAUAGUUGGUUUGUGCUACUUGUGUUUAACUUCAGUAUCUAAAAGUUCAUUUUGAUUGGUAUGACUUUUACAAUAGUGGGCUAUGUGAUGCUACUUGGGUGUGCGAUCAGCAUUUAUUUAUUUAUAUUAAUUUAAUUAUAUAUUAUUAGUAAAGCAUAUUUAAAGGAGAAGAUGACCCUUAACUCUGGUUUUAUACAGGUUGGUUUGAAAAUGUUCAUUGGUGUUACUGCAUCUGUGACCAAUUGGAAUGCCGAAGGGACAUGUUGUAGUAUUGUUUUGGAGGAUAAUCCUUUGGUAGAUUUUGUUGAGCUUCCUGACACUUAUCAAGGUCUCCACUACUGCAACAUAUUAAGUGGAGUCAUUAGAGGAGCCUUAGAUAUGGUAAGUUUCUAUUUCUAUUUCUUACCUCAUUUCACAUAUCACUUAUACUUUAUAAAACUUCCACUCAUCAGCUUUUUAAUAAGUUCUUCUUGCUUUCAACACUUAUCAAACUAAGAAAAUAUAUUAGUAGUUUGGUUGCUGGUCAAGUAUUUUUCUCAAAUAUGAAAGAUUAUUCAUGAUUUUGUAUGCUUUAUCUAUGUAAGGAAAGGGACAGAGUUUCAAGAUUUUGCUUUCUUAGUUUGAUAUUGCUCCUCUUAACAAACCAUUCAGUAUUUUCUGAAAGCAAGUUUCUUUAGCUCCCCUUUCAUAGCAAUGAAUGAAGUCAUUUUUAACUUCCAUAAUUUAAUGGGGAAAACAACUCACAAUUAUUUUUCUUGGAGGAAAAUGAGGCAUGACAUACAAGCCUUUGCAGCACAUGCUUCUUCACUCUUGUCUUGAUUCUUGUACAUUCACACUACUCAGGUGUCGAUGAAGGCUGAGGUCACUUGGCUACGUGACGCGCUUCGAGGUGAUGAUGUGUUUGAAUUGCAAGUAAAACUUCUCAAGCAAGUUCCAGAAGAGUAUCCAUAUAAGGAUGAUGAGUAAUUGUAACGUUGCACUUGAUCAUUUCCUAAGUAUUAGUUUAUCAUCUUAAUGCCGAUGUGUGCAUUUUGAUGAACCUAUAGAAAACAUUAAAUUAAGUUAUUAUAAUAUUUGCUUCGACAACGGACUAGGAUCUAUGCAAGCCCUCGAGAUUCUUGAAACUGAUCUUGUUCUGUCAUUCUUUGCUGUUUGUAUGGGUUCAUUUUAGUUGCAAUUCAAAACUUGGUUCUUGGUGCUUCAAAUAAAGCUUUAUUGUUCAAUAUCACAUUCACCAUACAUUUUUAUAAUGAAAUGUUAUACACAACAACUAGAGCAAUACUGUUUGUGCAUUGACCCUAUAGGAGGGUGGGAAAUUUGUCCAAGAUUUCUAAAAGAGCAAAUAAGAGGCAUUCACAAAUUUUCUAGGACAAUGAAAUCUUGUAUAAGACAACUGGCAUUCACAUUGGCCUAGAGAAACAUGAUGAUCUUAAAAUGGGGUACUCACCUAAUCAAUAGCUCUUGAACUUCCUUCUGCGAUGAUUUUUCAAGUAAUUUAGAUGUGUGAAAAUACUUGGUCAUCUCAUUCGAAAAAUACUUCCUUUUCUGAACUUAAUAAAGUCACACAUAAUUCCAAAGGAAUUGGGAGUGUAGAAUGAUGAGUUGUCCGAAAGUAGUUAAUUUUAUUACAUAUGAUUUUGACAUUUUCACACAUAUUAAGAAAUAUAACUAGUAAUUUUGUAUUAGAAAGAGAAAUUAUGAGUGAUUUUAUAAAAUUACCUCUAAUUAAUGAUAUGAGAAAAAAAUAUUAAAAAAAGAAGAUAAAGUAAUAAAUAGUGAAUGGUAUGAUAAAAAAAAUAUAUUAAUGUACCUAUAAACAGAGAGAGACGCAUAAUGUUCUUUUCUUGGCUUAAAAAAAAAUAUUCUUUUCUUCAUUCUUUCAAAAAAAUAAUAUUAUUUUCUUCAUGCACGACUUCAUAAAAUAUUCUUUUCUUCAUUCUUUCAAAAAAAUAAUAUUAUUUUCUUCAUGCACGAGAAAAAUAGGAGGAUAAUGCAAAGAAGUAUGAAAGGAAUCUUUUGUCAAGAAAAGUAUGAAAGGAAUCUAGGUUAAAGGGUACAAAAAACCUAAGAUAUUUGUUUUUCAUUAAGUUUUUUAAUUAAUUUAAUUUUCUAUAAAAAUAAAAUUUUACCAUUUUUUUGUUAAAGUAAAAUUAAAAACAGUUCUAUAAAAAGAAAUUUUUACCAUUUAUUUUGUUAAAGUCUUACGGCUCAUGGAGCGAUUUAUUUUUGUUUUCAAUGUACCUAUAAGAUAAUUAAGUUUCUAGAUAAUAUAUGUAGAUAAUAUAUGUAAUUAAGUCUUAGCUCAACUGGCAAAAUGUCAAAAUUGUUAGACCGGAUGUCAUGAUCGGGGUUCGAACCCCAGUACCUUCACUUAUGUGUGUGAGUUUAUAAUGACUUUACCAUUUCAUCUAUAUAAAAAAAAAUGUAAAACGUAUAGGAGAUUAAAUUGCAACCUGAUAGGGCAUAAUUCAAAUCUUAUAAAAUUGGCUAAAGUGCACUUUUCCCCCUCUAACUUUCAAAAACUUGCAAUUUUGGCCCCCUAAGUAUCAAAACAACAAUUUUGGCCCCCUAAGAUUUAGCCCCUUUGCAUCUUUGGUCCUUUUGGUCAAUUUUGACUUAUUCAACGCCUACGUGGCAGGCCACGUGUGUAAUUAAUUAAUUAAAAAAUUUAAAAAAACCAAAAAAUCAAUUUUUAAAUUAAAUAAAUGAAAAAAAGAAUUAAAAAAUCAGAAAAAAUAAAUAAAAAUUAAACCCAAAACACUUCUUCAUGUUAUCUUCAUCUCUUCCAAUCCAACCCCAAUAAUAAGAAACAUUGUUGUCAGAAUCAUCAGAAAUAUCACUAUCACUACCAUAAAUUAAAUAAUCCAGAAAAAUUAAUCUUCAUCAUCUUGUUCAUAUCUUGAUAAUUUUGUUCAUCAUCCUCAUUGAAAUCCUAGAAGAAAAUUUUUGCUUCAUAAACAACAAUCACCCUCUGCAUUCUAUUCCCCAUAAUAUAUUAUUCAAAUCCAAAAUAUCAACAAUUACAACAAAUUCAAUGCAGCAAUUACACAAUUGCCAAACAUCUCUUCAUACUGUUUUUGGAAAAAUUCAUGGGAGCAAUUACGAAUAUGCGACAGAACUCCACAACAAACACAACCUAAAUUAAAUUGGAGAACAAUCACAACAAACACACUCUUCCAUAUCUUUUUUAGAUCUAGUUCUUCAUCAUGGCAAGCUGCUACAACUAAUAAACAAACCCCUGCCUACUGUUAAAAACGCAGCAGCAUAAAGGGCAUGUGCAGAAAAAAUAAGCGCAACAUACAGAGGGACAUACAAAGCCAAAACACCAAAAAUAAACAAAUCAAAAUACAUGUCCACCCUAAAUGCCGAACUGCAACAACGAAACCUGCACCAAUAGCUGAAAGGUCCAAAAAUACCAAACCCCAUAGCAGAUCCAAACAAAACAGCGUCGUUCAUCGUCCUCGUCGUCUUCGUCGGUGUCAUUUUCGGGUUCGUUGUUGGGAUCGGCGUCAGAAGAGCAAUUGACGGUGGAGGGAAGUUCGGAAUCGGUGUGGUUGGAUUCUUCUUGGUCUACGAUGGUUGUAGUUGUUAGCUUGGGGGUUUUGUUGGGAAGGUGAUGGGUUCAAGAGGAAGAAGAAGAAGAAGAAGCCAUUGGAAUGGAAGGUGGUGCUGGUGGCUGGGGUUAGUAAAGAGAAAGAAGGGAGAUUGAACCAAGGUUACACAUAGAUUGGAAGAAGCCAUCAGAAGUGAAAAUAAUGGAUUUUUUAUUUUUUCUGAUUUUUUUUAUUUAUUUAAUUUAAAAAUUGAUUUUUUGGUUAUUUAAAAUUUUUAAUUAAUUAAUUACACACGUGGCCUGCCACGUAGGCGUUGAAUAAGUCAAAAUUGACGAAAAGGACCAAAGAUGCAAAGGGGCUAAAUCUUAGGGGACCAAAAUUGUGGUUUCUAUACUUAGGGGGCCAAAAUUGCAAGUUUUUGAAAGUUAAGGGGGGAAAAGUGCACUUUAGCCUAUAAAAUAAUCAUGAAUGUCAUUUUAAUGAAUAAUAGUCUCCUUUCUGUAACUUCUUUUAUUUUUAGUCAAAAAUUAUCUUUCAAAUUCCUAAUCCAAUAUACCCUCCUUAGUCUCCUACUCAACAUUUUUGAUUAAAAAUUCAUGGGUAAAGACAAACUUUACAAAUUACUAGUAUUCUUCUAAAUGAUUAGAAAGAAAGUUUUCCGGUUGCUCCUUGAGGAUAUGAGCUGAACUUUACCAACUAAACAAACAUGUGUUGGCUAUGUAAAAGUUAUUUAUUUAGUCUAUUUGAAUGAAUUUAUAUAUGAUAUGAAGAAAAUAUUACGGUUCUUAUACAAUGAACAAGAACAAUUUGCACGUCCUUCCCAAAAAAAACUGCGUGAUAUAACUUCUAUAAAAUGUAAAUAUCUGAAUAGAAGGAAAACUUACAUUAUGGAAAUAGCUAUGUUUGCAGUAACUUAAUUUACCCCAUGAAAUGUUAACUGCAUCCUAUGUGACACGGAUUAGAAGAAUAACCAUGACAAAUACACACAUCAUUACAAACAUCACAAGCCAAGUUAAGCAAGAAGUCUUGGAACUCUCGGAGUAUAUUGUGUUUGCUCGCACAUUGACACGACCUGUGCUUGCCAAGCUAUGCUCAAUGGCCUCCUCAGUAGAAUCAAGUAUCUGCAAGCAAGCCAUCAUUCAUUAGGUUAGUUAACACCUCACGAGAUAUUUCAUAUGAUAUUAUUUUAUAAGAAACAUAUUUUACUCAUUGUAAUGACCACCAACGCAAGGUACUAACAUCAUCCACAAUCCCUCAUACCAAAAUGAUAUACAUUUUGCACAAUCAACUCAAACAAAAAUGAGAAUCAGACCUUUUCAGUAUUUUUCACAGACUGGCUCAUCAUGAGACUACUCUCUUUGAGUUGUUUUGCCAACACCACCAUCUCAUCUGUCAAAUCAUCUUGAAGCUUUCUGAGGAGUAUAAGUGUCAACAAAGAAGUGAAAAAAUUGAGAGAACAAUGAAAAAACAAUUCAUAUGGUUAAAAGCAAAGCAUUGAGAGAGCAAACACAAAUGACAAUAACAAUUAGCUAUAUAAUACAUUUUUUGCAUAUAAUUCAAUAGCAACUACGAGAGUAUUGGUAUCAAAAUAUAAUGAUUAUGGACACUUCAUUGCAGUAGUACUGACUCAUCAUAACACAAACUUCAAGUGUACCUGUGCUUUUCAAUAUGUGCAUGUCCUGCAGCAUCCAGUUUAACAGAUGAUAAGUGAUCAGUCUCAGCAGGCUCAUAUGCUCUAUCUUCAGUACUUGAGGCAGCUCUGUCCAAUGAAUCAGAUAAGUAACAGUAAAACAGCCUACAAAAUACAAGCAGCAGUGAAAAAGGUUAACAUUAACUUACACAGGCCUUCUUCGCAGCCCAGAAGAAGGCGACAUCGGCAUUAUAUCCUCAAUUUCAGAAGGGUUUUCUUUAACAUUUCUUUCAGUGUCCUCAGAUACUUCUAUGUCAGACUGAAAAUUUAAAUGGUUAUAUGACAAUCACUAAGUGUGCCCAUUUAGCCAAAACUAAAAUGGAAUAUAUAAAAAGGAAACAAUGGAGGAAAUUUCAUUGCCUUAUGAUGCAUUCCAAUCAAAUACCAAUAAUUCAAGCCAUUAAAUAUUUUAUAUACACUCUUCAAAUACUAUAAUGCAAUUUGAUGUUCUCCAUCAUAUAACAAAUCAUUAAGGUUUGAUUGGUUGAGUAGGAGUGCAAAAAAUGAUGGAGUUAAAACGAAUUUGAGCCAAUCAUUACAAACACACGAGCAAUAGAGCUGAGAAAUAGAGUAAGAAAAGGAAGCUUCAAAGGUUUAGAGAAUCCUCACAGAAAAGAGAGAGAGAGAGAGAGAGAAAUCUCCUAGGGGCUUCCUCUUCAACAAUGGGUUUCCCAAUCUACAACUAAGCUUAAUGGUCAGUUCUGCAAUACCAAUAAUUCAGAAUCCUGUUCUAUCGCCCUUUCCUCCAAAUUCAUGCUACUACCAUUUUAAACCAUAACCACCAAAUAGUUUCAACUGUGCUAAUCCAUAUAACUAAUCUAAUGGUUUUGCCUCAAAUUUGUUGGUUUUCUUUUGUACUUCUCUCCUGUGACCUAUCAAAAUGAGCAUAUUUAUAUUUGCCAUUCUUUAAUGUUUGUCAUACCAAACAGGUUUGAAGUUUUAUCAUUAAAUUUCCACCUUACCACUAACACCUGCUUAACCAAGCAGACCUCAGAGGCUCAGACUUAAGUUUAUGCAAUCUGCGCACCUUUCAGUUAGUACAAAGUUUUUAUUUUAGAAAGUAUGUAUUUGAAAUUCAUAUAUUGCAAAGGGUUUUUAUUUUAGAAAGUUUGUAUUUGAAAUUCAUAUAUUGCAAAUAUAUAAACAAAUACUAACUUACAACGACUUUUUUUGGCUGAAAAGGACAUGGCUGGCUAUAGAAUUUUUUUGUUAAAAUACAUACACGACUUGGAGCAAGCUAUGAUAGGGGAUACAACAAUCAUGUUGUGAAAUAAAUACUAGUUAAGAUAUUUAUUGAUGAAAAUGGGGCUUAUUUAUUUACAAUCCUAUUAAAGAAAUUGUUUGCCAUCCUACCUCGUGCCCCCCCCCCCCCCCCCCCGUUCUUUGCCCAACGCAUUGAUACAAUCCUAAUCUUAUACCAUGUCGUAACUGUGUUAAUCUGUUCUUACUUUUAACAAACAGGUAUAAACAAAUAAAAUUAACCAUUUUGUGAUAUCCAGUUAAUUUCAAAUACUCAAAUUCCAUCCUUUUUGUUAAUGAAAUUUCCCAUUAUAUUGAUGCAAAAAGGAACCUCAAAUGUUUAGUCAGUUGCUCUAAUGAUCCCUUUGUAUUUCAAUAUCUCUAAAGAUACAAUAGCGAACAAAUACAUACCACAUGAACCAAUUUUGAAGCAAUGCCUUCAAUCUUCUCUGAAUAAUCGUUCAACAUAGCCUUUGAGAUCCUGCAUGACCAAUCAAUCAUACACAAACAUUAAUGAAUGCAGAUACUCAGUCGAUAAACAUAUAGCAGGAAUAUAACAUCUUCAGAUCAAGGGUUACCAAUGAUCUAAGAGAGAAGAAGAAAUAAACAGAAUGUAAUCAUUACGCGUGCAAGAUCUUCUCAAAUAAUUAAAAACAAGGAACAGUACAACUUAUGUUCACUGAGAGACAUAGGAUUUUGGGUGAGUUUGUUUCAGCUAUAAAAAAAAUAAAAAUAGGUUUUGUGUUAAAAGAAUCUAGAGAUUUUUUUUAGAGAUUUUUAAAAAUUUCUGAAGUUAUUUUUGUUUGUCUACUACCAAUGAAAAUCCUUUUUUUUUUAAAUGAGUUUUAACUUAUACAUGUGUUACCUUCUUGUUGUUGAAAAAAAAUAGAUUUUGAGAAAAGCUAAUCCUAAUAGCUUUUCAUUUUAGGGUCAAAAUAGAUUUUUUUGAUAAAAUGAUUUUUCUAAAAAUCCUAAACAAACACUUAAAAAAUGAAAAAAGUGGUUUUUUUAAGAAAAAUAGAUUUUUUUUGUAAAAAAUCUGAAACAAACGGGCCAUUUAUGUUACCUAUUUUGGUCAGCUGAGCUUACACUAAUUUAUCUAAACUUGUUCUUGACUUGGAACUUAUUAUAUAGAAAUUUUGAAUUAGGUUUCUAUAUUACAGCAGUUAUUCAAAAUCCUAUAUUUAAUGAAAUCUUUUCAGUUUCCAUCUAAUCCCUAUAAUUUCACCAGGUAUUAAUUCUCAACAUUUACAUUCUUAAACCCAAACAAUGCUCAUUCAUGAAAAAAAAAAUUAUCCACUUUGAAAGUACCGGAUCUUGAAAUACACAGAGCUUGAUUGGUUGCCAAAGGCUUUACUCAAACCUUAUUAAGUUUUUCCAAAGCCCAGCGGCAAAUCUGGCAGGCCUCAACAACAACUACAUGUGAAGAAUAGAUUUCUAAAUGGAGAUUUGAAGGAAGAAGCUUAAAUGGUACAGUGCUAGCACGCCAGCAAAAACUCUUAUUGACCUUGAUCAAAAGCUUGAGGGGAACAAGAUGCAUGACUCAUUGGCCUGGUAUUUCGUUUGCAGUGAGUUUAGCUAGCCAGAUCAUAGAUUCGCCAAUGAAGAACAUCUUAACACAAUAUAUGUAAUGGAAUUUUAGAAAAUUUGAAAUGUCCCAGCCAAAUAUCAUUUCUUCAACAAAAAAGCGCAGAGCAGACCAUUGAGGUCUACUUAAAUGUCGACUGUACAAGACCUAUCAUGAAUAGGAAGUCUACAUGAGGUUAUUGCGCAGGGUUUUAGUUAAAUGGAAAAGCAUAAAACAAAAUGUGGUAGCUAGGAGCAGUAUGGAUAUGGAACAUAUAGAUACAUCUCAUGGAGUAUGUGAGAUGUUAUGUCCAAAAAGAAUUCUUGACAAAUCAGCGAUGCCUACAAAUAUGUGGAAGUUGGCAGAAAUUUGAUAAAGGAAAAGACAGAUGAUGAAGCUACUUGCAUGCCAUUUAUUCCAACUGUACAACAAGAGGCAAAUAUGAAUAUCCUGACCAAAAGACCAUUCCUAGCUAAUUUUGAAAUUCUCGACGGUGUAGAAGUAUUUUAGGAAUUAUGAUUAGUUCUUUAGGAUUUGAUUGUGUACCUACUUUUUGAAUUUAGAUUUUGAUAAGAAGAUUGUUUCUUCUCCCUUACUUUACUCCUUUAUAUUUUGAAUUUUGAACAGGUUGGUUAUAUCUUUCAAACCAACUCUGGCUAUAAGUCCUUCUUUAUAUGGCUCUCAAUGAUGAAUAAGGGAAUAAGUAAUUUUCUUUUGAAACUUGCAUAAAAUUAAGAGUAAGAAUUGACAGCUUCAAAAAUGGCAGACUAUAUAGAAACACUAAAGCUCUGUAGUCUCCCAUAUAAUUCCUAGAUAUUUAUGUAUACGAGAAUGUAAAUAAAGAGACUUACUACCUUGGCAAGCCUUCUGGAGUCUUCUCUUCAGCCAAUUGUUCCAGUUGUUCACGCAAAGUAGCAACAUACUGCAGAGUCAACAAAUUAGUAAGCUUUUCUUUUCAAGAGUUAAUCAAAUGAUUAAAUCAAUAGAACAUUACUUAAUAAAUUAUAGUCACUAGAGACCACAUAAACCUAAAAUAAGGCAACUUGGUGCUAUAAAGAAACUGCCGUAAUGGGGUCGAAAAUCAAAGGGUCGAGUCUAUUUUGGAUAUAUUGCAGGCGUAUUUGCAAAAAGGUCGAAUUCAUAACUCAAACCUGUGACAUCCUAACCACACAGAGUAAACUUCAACUAUUGUGCCAAGAUUCUGAUUACUCUACAAUAAAUAGUCAGGGUUUAGUUUCAGACUUACAUGUACAAGUUUUGCCUGGUUUUGCUGGUGAGGAGCAGCUGCAAGCAAUCUCUUCAAGUUUACUUCUGUUUUACUAAUUCCCAUUCCUGCAAUGUUUAGCAAUUCCAUAAAUAAUACUCCCUCCGUUACUUUAUAACUGUCGUUUUCAAAGUCCAAUGUAUGGUUUUACCUAUAUUACCCUUAUAUAUUUAUUGCUGAGAGAGAAAUAUAUGGAAUGAAGUAUUAAAUUAUUAAGGUAAAUAUAAGAGAAAGCAAUGUGAUAAAUGUGAUAUGUUCAUGAUGUGAUUCGAAAAGUAAAAGGAUCAAGUCACCCAUUGGAAUAAUUUUCUAGAAUAUUAUACGUAACAUUACAACUUGAUAGUGGAUAAUUAAAGAACAGAGUCGAAUUGCAGGGGAAAUUAAAUCCUUGCCUUAAACAUAAUUGCAAGGUACAUUUUGAGAGUUAUUGCUAACUCAUGAGCAUUGUAAUCGACAUUCUUCCUCUCAUCAUACAUAUCAAGUUGAAGAUAACACAUGUAAGGCUUUAAAUUCAAUGUAAUUGAAGAAAUUGGAAUUGGGCAAAAAUAGGGUUAGGUUCUGAUUUGAGAGGAAGAAAAGAGGGGGAGGAAAUUUUUUUCACUUACCUUGCUUCCAAUGAGAAAUUAAGAAUUUUGGGUGAGAAACAGUGAGAGAGACAAGAGAAAAGAGAGAAACAGCAGAUAGCGUGAUUAUUGUCAAUUUCUUUUAUUUAAAAUUUGUUUGUUUGCAAUUUUAGGACUGUUUUUUUUCCAUCUCCGACCCUUUACUCUGUCUGAUUUGAGUUUACGCAAACCAACUUAUACAAUUCAUGAGAAAGUUAGUGAAAACUUUUAAAUUAACAUAAACGUUUAUUUAUUUACCUGAACUAUGUUACGUAAGCUGAAAAAUAAGAUAAUCCAAAGAUGCCCUAAAACUAUAUUAUCUCUUAUUUUCAUUAAGUCAAAUAAGUUAAUCCAAACGGAUAGUAAAACUACGUUAUCUCUCAACUCUACGGGUACUUUGUGGUUUUGUUUCAAGUGAACUAUAUUACAUUUGGUCCUUAAAUAAUUUAAACGACCUAAUUUGAAUCUGUUGCAAAGUGACUCAAAAAUGAUUUGAGCAUGUUGCAAAUCGUGACACGAUUUGUGGACCGUGAAUAAUGGCGAAGCCAGAAAUUAUAUAGAGCCUGGGCGAAAAAUUUAUCGCAAAUUCAUAUGUGACAUAAUAUAUAUCAAGAUAAAAGAGGAUCGUCGUUUUUACAAAAGUACAGUUUGAAAUAAGAGAGAUGAAAUAUAAUAUGUCAAUAAUGUGCUAAAUAAAAUUAGGAGGUAAAUGCCCUUUCCAAAAUCUCUUUCCGGUGAAUGUUUGAAUAAUAUCAACAUCAUCAAGUGACAUGAAUAUCUUCCGCUCGGUGUAACAUCAUCAAGUGACAAAAUAAAUUAUCCCAACAUUUUUUAACAUCAAGUUUGUAAUAUCUCCCGUUCGGUGUAACUACUUGGUGUAGUUAGAUGCAAGGGAAAAGAAAAGGAGAAUGGUGGUUCAUUGUUAAAGUGGCAUCAUCAUCAUUUUAGAGUCAAGGUGGAGAAAUGUUGCAAAGUGACUCAAAAAUGAUUUGAGCAUGUUACAAAUCAUGACACGAUUUGUGGACCAUGACACAAUUUUCCUAUGUCGUGAGCAUGUUUUUCAGGGUUUCCAAUCGUGACACGAUUUUGGGCAAUCAUGACACGAUUUUUGGCAUGCUUGGCACGUUUACAGGAUAAGGUUGGUCGUACCUUGGGUCGUAUGCAUCAAUCGUGUCACGAUUUGACCAAUUGUGACACAUUUUUGACAACUGAAGACUGAUAUGUAAGUGUUUCUUUGCAGAUUUUGAAGAGAUGAAAACUUGGGAAAUCAAAGGACGUAACUUUAUGGUUGAGGGUCUUUGAUUAGAGUUCUCUUGGGUUGGGAAACAUUGUAAACACGUUGGGUCUUUGUGUGCUUGUUGAAGCUAAUUUCUUGUAACUCAUUUGUAUCUCUUUUAGGAACUCAUUGAUAGUGGAUUGGAGAGAUAAAUCUCUCUCCAUAGUAGGUCAAGUUGGACCGAACUGGGUAAUCAUUUCUUGGUGUAUUUGUUUCUCUUCUCUCCUUAUCUUUUGCUUGUGGUUUUGAACUUUUCACUUUGAUUACUAAAUUAGAUCUAGGUAUUGUUAUUAUUGUUUUUGCUUGUGUUCACUUUGAUAUUGGUUAUUACUUUCCUCUGCUCCACACAUCUUUGUUUUCAUUGGUGUAAGUUUUAAAUCCGAAUUCACAACAGAAUCUUUAAAUAACUUAAAGAAUCUGUAAGUGUACUUAAAAACUAAUCCGAAAAACCAACUUGUUAUAAUUAAAUAACCUCUUGUCCAAUUUAGCCUAUUAAUAACAUAGCUAAUCUCAUCUGAAUCUAAGAAAGCGCAGGUAUUGCAUCAGAAUAACAUGUUGGCUUCAUAAGUCUUAAAUAUUAAUUUAUCAUAAUCGUACAGGUAACAAAUAAAUCCUGUUAAAAACAAAAACAAAUAUACUUUUGAAAGUUAAAGAGUAGUAGUGCCCACUGGCCAGAUAGCUCAUUUCAUAACAAUACACAGUUUGAACCUGAUCAAACUUUUAGAUCCAGAAAACAUUACCUGAGGCACAAAAAAUCCCAAUAAUAUUGUAUUAUUACCUAAGUAAGAAGAAAUUAACUUGUCCAUCCUAUUACACAGGAGUGUACAAAUAGUACUACCGCUAACACUAGACAAAACAUUAACACAUACACCCAAAAAAAAAAGUUAUUAAAUAUAAGCACCCACUUUGAAGUGUUGGUUCAACAUAGAAUGUAUCAUAUGAUUUCAAUAAUACAUGAAGUUCAUGAACAUCCACUUUUGGUACACCACAUUAUAAUUAUGUUUAAUUCAUUGACAUUCAACUACUCAACUGAAUUAACCACAUUGUUGCAUAUUAAACAAGUGUAGAUACAAAUAUAAUUCAUCACUUAAACCAAAAAAAUAAAACAUCCAAUAAAGUCUAAAAAUUAGAAUAAUAUAGAGUAAACAAACAUUACAAGGAUCAGAAUAAAGAUUGUAAUCAACGCAGGAAGAAGAGUGAUAAUAGUAGACAGACAAGUAAUUGAAGUGAUUAAAAAUGUUGGGAGAAGUCUAGAUUAUCAUUCCAUACUAGAAUGCAACCCACGCCUUUUAUUACAACCCAUUUUGAUUUAGAAGAUGUUGCGAAUGUCACAAUGCAUAACUAAGCAAAAGACGGGCCAUCUUCAUUGUAUUUUUUUUUACCUUAAAAACUUCAAAUCACUGUCAUGUCACUACUACACAAAUCUAUAUUCUUCCUACUCAAACCUUUUACUAGGCCUGGACAACGGGCGGUUCGGUGCGGUUUUCGGUCUCAAAAUUCGGAACCGUUCAAACCGACGGUGUGAAUAUUACAGUCCGUUUCCGUCCGUUUGAGACCACGGUUUCGACAGUCGGCGGUUCAACGGUUUUAGCAGGUGGUCGGCCGGACUCCGCCGGUUUUGGAUUAAACAAAAUCGUACAAAAAUUACAAAAAAAAAAAAAAAAAAAAAAACGGAAUAACAGUGUUGGUGGGUGUUCACAACUUGUUACAUGUGAAAAAUGAAAAGGAUUGUGUUGUAUGAAUUGAUAAUAAAGGAAGAAGUAGAAGAAGAAAGAGUUGAGAUUUGUGGAGCUUAUUGAGGAAAAGCUCUCGAUCUGAAGGAAUUGUGGUGGACUACUAGUUCCAGCAGGAGAUGUGAUAUGUGUAUUCUGAUGUGCAAUGACUAUGGUCAUAAAAUAGUGAUUUGAAAAUAUAAAAUAUUAAAAAUAGAUAUAAAUUAAUGCCUUGAAAUUGAAUAGUUUUUGAGAGUUCCAAGACAAUUGAGAGAGAGACAACACGUCUUCCCUAUGCAAGCCAGCUUUCACAUUGUAAAAGUGUUCAUUUUUAUCAUUCUUGGCAUAAAAUCGAUCGGUUGUUGGGUACCGAUGGAUUGAUUUUUGCAAUCCGAAUCCGACCGUUCAUAACUGUAUAAAACCGAAAAAGCAUGAAUCACCAACCCGCGGUUCAUAUACACCCGACCCGAAUGUUCACGAUUUCACCGGUUUGGCCGGUUUUCGGUCGGGUACGGAUAUUCUGUCCAGCCCUAGUAUGUGUGUAUCAUGGUGAACUCAUCCAAGUUGUACUUCAUUGUGAAUAUGUAGUAGUACAAGAGAAAAAGAGAGAAGUGAGGUGGUGUGGUGUUUUUUGUUUCUGAAAAAAGGUGGGGCUGUGUCUUGAAAGUUGAAGAAAGAUAAGGUAGCCACUAGGUUGGUGGAAUAGACACGUGAAAGGUUAAAAUAUGUCUAAAAAAAUUAAAUAUUAUCUCACUUUGUGGGUCUCAAGGCAAAAAUAUCAGUACUAGUACACAGGUAAUUACAGUAUCUUUUUAGAGUACCACGGUAGGCUUUCAUAUGAACGGACGGGUUCAGUCACCGUUGGACCUAAAUUUGAAAACAGAGCCCGCCCAUAUGAACUCACUGUUAACCGAUUUUUUGUUCCUUUUCAACCCAUCACCCAUUCCGACCCGCCCGUAGCGGUUGCGGUUUUCCCGAUUUUUUCGGUUUAUGGGCGGUUCCGGUUAUUUUGUCCAGCCCUAGGUUGUUGUGUUUGUUUGUUUAUUGCAGAGGUUUUUAUAAGUUGAAGAAUUUGAAGAGACGAGUUUUGUUGAGUUGAAUUGAGUUGGGUUUUUCAGUAAGUGGAUUGGGGGUUUUUUUUUUUGUUGAUGCAAUGGAAUGAGUUUAUGAUGAUGACUACAAACUUGACUACAAUAGGUGAUACCGCCCAAAAGUGGGUCCUACUAUUGUUAUGGUUUAUGUCGACUGGGCCAAUGAAAAGUUGCCAUGUCAUGUGGGUGAAAAUUAAAAUGUUUAGCUUUCAUGGUGUUCUUGAGAAGAAAAAAAUUUGGAAAAAAUUUCUUGAGUUGAUUCUCAAACUUUGAAGUUUGAAACACUUUCUUCACCAAGACGAGUACGAGGUUAUGAGUAAAACACUUUACUUUUUUUUUUGUGUAAAGUUGUUAAGUAAAUAAAGAUUGUCUAAAACUUGUUUCCUUAACGAUUAAAUUAGUUUUUUUUUUUAAUAAUUUAUCUUGUAAUGGAACAUGACUAUUUAUUUGAGUCACUAUUAUAAGUAAAAAUAAUUAAUUUUGCAUUGAUUAAUAAAAUUAGUUAAGGAUUUAAACUUAGGUCAUCUAAUCUAACUCCUAUAUUUUGAGUUAAAAUCCUAUAUUUUCAUGACUUUAUCUCGUAAGUCUAACAUUUAUUUAAAAAUUAUUCAUAAAUUUUAUCUGAAAUCUCCCAUAUAAUAUUAGAGUCUCUGAGUAAUUUGUCAAAUUAGGUUUGCGAAGUCCAUCAUACCUAAAUAUGAAUAAGAAGAAAUUUUGUUCUUAAAAACAAUAUUCCUGUUAUAGAACAUACUUCCAACAAAAAAAAAUACUAGUAAUGUGGUAGUAGUAAUUAUACAACAUAAAUUAUUUAUGUACUUACUACAAGGAUUUGGUUAUCUUUUUCCAUGUUCCGUCCAACUAAACGCGUUUUAAAUGUACACUUUAUGUAAGAAGAUUAUUUGAUUAUAAACAAGAAACUUAAUUUGCUAUCAGCCUCCAUGUGAUUCGCAUGUUCUAUUUUUUGACUGGGUAAUUGGUACAUAGAAAUAUGCAUAAUUCAUAAUUGCAUGUACAAGUAUAAGUAACAUAAUAGACGACUCAUGAGUCAUGACUCAUUGAUCAAAUUGCCGGCCAAAAAAGAAUUUCAUUCCAUAUUGAAAUUGGAAGUUGAAACUUGAAACAGUCCACCCAAUUUUCCAAGUUCACACAUUGUCACUCACCACGUCACAACCUAAAUAAUAUGGAUAUAUCAUGCAUUUAACUUUACAAUAAAGAAUGUAUAAGGCAUAUAAUAAGGAUAUUCUCAAGUUGUGUUGUGACUUUUUGAUUUGGAGCACUAGCAACACUAGUCAAUCACAUGUGGCUGUAAAAAGGAACAAUAUAGUGCUACUUCAGUUACCGGCCAAUUUAACAUUGGUAGUCAUCAAAAUAUUUUUUAAAAAAUUCAUUAUAAAUAUAACAUUAAUUUAUUAAAAUUUUAAAUAAAUAAUACUGAUAUCUUUUUAAAUAUAUUUAUUCUUUUUUUUUUAAGAAAUCAAAAUGGGAUAUAAUACUCAACUGGCUAUCCUUCUAGCACAAGGUGUGCCAAGAAGGAUAACAAAUAUUUACAACAAAGUAUCAACGAGAAUGAGCAAUGAUUAGCCUAUACCCAACCCAAACACAAAAACGAGUUUUUGCACCAAUCAUGAAACUUAUAAUUAAAACUAGCAAAUUUUGCUUUAUGCAAUAAAAAGAGAGAAGCUUAAUGUUCUCCAACAGUUGGGGAAAGGAAGUAAAUACAUUUUUUCUUAACACAACAUUGGACUCAAAUGAUUAAUGUGUUUUAUUUAAAUUUACGGAUUUGACCGAUAACAGAGUUUGAUAUCAUAGGAUAAAAUAAUUUGUGGUAUAUGCUAGGGUGAAAACAAACAAAAAAUUAUAUAUUUGUCAAUGUUACUAGCAUCGGGAUAUUGUUACUAGUAUUCAUGUAGACACAUGUUCGUCCAAUUGAUCUUUUUUAUUACAUUAAUGUUUAUAAAUUACGAACAAUAGUGUUAAUUUUUUACUCAAAAUUUAAUGUUUGUGUUUCUGCCAAAUUAUGACACAAUUUAAAAUAAUCGUGAUGUGAUUGGUGAAGUUAUUAUUUGGAGGUUUCAAUUCUUCAAAAAUCAUGGUGGGACUUUGGAAAAUGUGGCGUGAUUUGACUUGCAGCUGGCAAAAGUACAAUUGGAAAAUAAUGUCAUGAUUUGGGAAAUCGUUGCGCAGUUUGUCUGGAUGUGAAUACUAUAAAAGAAGUCUUUGACCCCAUUUGUUGAUGGAUCUUGAGAAUCUCAUGAAACCAAAGGAAGGAACUUUAAGAUAAUUUAGAGGUUAAGAUUUGAGGGUCUUUAGGUGAGAUUCAAAUGAUCAAUAUGUGAAUCUUAGAGAACCAAAAGAGGGGGCUCUUGGGAAAGGGUUCGUGUCAUUUUUGGGAGAGAUUCAUUGCUUAGGAAAGUUGAAAAACACAUGAGAGAAGAGUCUUGUGAACAACUUAGGUGAAUCUUAGGGUACCAAAAGAGGAGAUCCUUAGGAAAUCAAAGGCUAAGGGUUUGUUUCUUUUUGGGUUGGAUUCUAGAGUUGGGAAACACCUUAGGCAGUGAACUCAUUGGGUCUCUUGAUCACUAUAAAAGACUCGGAAAAAUAGUAGAAAUUAGGCGUGCUCUUGAAGAACUUAUGUGCAUGAAUUUUAUCUAAUUGUUUGUAUAAGAACAAAACUAUAAUACUCUACCCAAAUAUUGUCCAUUCAUACGUUAUGAUAAUAAAUACAUCUUGACACCUUAAGGGUAACCAUAUUUUGUAUACUUACUUCACAUUGGGAAGGUUACAGGUGAAUCAACAUAGACAUUUAAAAGAAAGGAGUCUGAAAGAACAUUAGGAAGAAUUCGGGUUCGAUCCCCACUGCUAAAAAAAUUCUCCUCCCCUAACAUUUCUAGUAGGCUAUUUCCUUUUACAUCAGGUUUGCAGUAAAAGAAAGAUAUAGAUUUAUAAAUGUGCAAAUAUUCAAAUCCUACAUAAAAAGAGAAAUGUUGUUAUUAACUAUUCAGAUCACCCAGUCUACUACAAACCAUGUCUAAUCUUUGGUGACUGCAAGUAUUGGUAACAUUAAUCAUAAAUAAGAAACAAAUCAGGCCGAAUGAGAUCCUGUGUGACCAUUACAACAUGCUAACAGUACCAACUCCUUAAAUUACUCCAAGAGAAGACAAAAAAACGUAAGAACUGGAGCAUCAACGGAAAUUUAGACCCCCACCUGAGUACUCCACCUCCUGCAGAUACAAAAAAGUAAGGUCAUGAACUAAGACUUAAAAGAAAAGAAACCAAGGGUGUUGCAGCUCAUGGAAAUCACAAAAGGCUGAAGUAGGAGAGAUGCCAACAAGUUAUAGAUUUUUUUUCAGUGGACAAAACCAGUUAUAGAUUUAUUUUCAAAAUGAAGCAUUAUUUCUGAAAUUAAAGUGGUCAAAAGUUUAUGCAGCAAACACAUAAACACAGCAUGCAUUUACGUUUUUGACUAAAAUCUACCAAUUCUUCACUAUGGCAUAUGUUCUUUUAUUUAUACACNNN